AUUUAAUUAAAAGUCAGAAAUGAGUAAACUAUAUAUGGAAAACCGCAGUUAUUGCACAACGCUUACUUAUAAUUCUGCGUAUUCCACCCGGAUAUAUUGGCCACUUUGUUUAAAGCAGCUUUCCAAUGAUUCACCUUCUCUGAUUCAUAUCUCCCAGAGCUUUCAUGUUUAGAGAAAGCUUCUUCGAAACUCUGCUUCUGAUAUCGAACAUCAGUAGGCUCAACAUGAUAAAAAAGUGGAAAAAUUCUGUUGUCUUCCAUGGAUAGACAAAUCUCUCUAAGUUCCUCCAAACACCAAGUAGAAGAAGCAUAAUUUUGCGAGAGAACAACAAUUGCAAACCUUGACCCUUCAAUUGCUUCUAUGAGCGUGCGAGAAAUAGUGUCCCCGACUUUAAGAUCUGGAUCAUCCAUGAAUGUUUUAAUGCCUCUCCGAUUGAGUCCAUCGUAUAUGUCGAUUGUGAUACCCUUGCGAGUGUCAACGCCCCUGAAACUCAAAAACACAUCAUACCUCCAACAUGGAUCUGAAGGAGGAGGAUAUGCACAGGGUAUUUGGGAGCUGGAGGCCAUUGGAAACCACCAAAUCAAAACAAGAGGCAAUCAAGAACAGGAAAUAAAAAACUGCAAGAACAAGGUCUCUCAAGUAUUGGCAGGUACAAAGAAACUUUUAAAGCCAAAUGAAGAAACCAUGAAACAAAGGGUGUUGAAGUCUGAAGUCCGAACAGCAUGAAACCAAGUUUCAUAGACUUGUGCAAAGUCUAGACAAAAUGGCAUCUUGGAUUUGUUCAAACUAAUACUAUUAAAUCUGCACUCGCUGCCAGCUAAAAUAUAAUAACAUGUUAGGUAAAGCUUCAUACUAAAAUACUAAAAUAACAGGAGGCUUGGUUUUUCGUCAUCUCGUGAAGGUUUUAUUUGGAGCAAUACUUUUCCAGUGUUUCAUAAUUGAGUGCAUUUCUAAUAUAUCAAUUAUGCAUAUGUAGAUGACCUUUAGGGAUUGAUCUUAAUCAUGAAACGUACGAUUACUUAAGAUUUGGCUUCCCCAAUGUGUAUCUAAAUCAAAUCCCACUUGCCCAAUCUGCGGAAUUGCAGAAGAGAGCUCAUGGGUGGAGUUGAGAAUCAACAAAUUGGUUCUAUACGUGUAUCAAGAAUGCAACAAAUAGGAACAUUGAGUAUACACACUUACAGUAACUAGCCUCAUUUGCUGGUCCAUUUUUCGUGUCCUCUCCAUCGCCAUGGAGCUCGUUGCUUCCCUGCAUGCAACUGAAAUCAUCAUCGAAUCAGAUUCGAAAAAGCUUUAUUGAGGAAUUGAACAAUAAUCAUGAGAAGAUUAAUUUGAAGAAGACUCAGCUUUUAACUUGAGUGAUUGCAAUUGGGAUUUGAUGGGCUGCCUUGCCCACAGACGCCAGAGCGGUUUGAGCUCGACUUCUCUGGUCGGUAGGAGCUCUUCAAUUAUGAUUAAGACUUUUUAGUCUGGACUUGGCAAUGGGCAAGGCCCAUUUACUCCUCAAGUCCGACCCGGAUGACCCAAUUCUUAAACAGAGAAGCCUCACUCCCUACUCCCUAGUAAAGCUUCAACCUUUCACUGUUCCCAACCCAAGUCUCAAAACCCUUCAAAGCUUAAGGUUUUCACUCUCCAGUGCUCCUCCGCCUCCGCUAAUGCCGUAUCAGGUAAACCCAAUUUCGCUACUCAGCCUACUCUGCUCUCAUUGUUCUCUCUAGGACUUGUAAAGAUUCAAUUUUUAUGUGAUAAUGGUUUCCAGUUUUCUCUGAGGUUGAUUUAUAAAUGACAUGGAUUACCUGUGAAGAGUUGCCGGUGACCGGACCGUGCCGGUUGGGGUGAGAAUGAUGGUUGCAUGACUGAAAAUGUGAGUGUUAAUUUUUUUAUUUUUUUUUGUUGAAUGAAUGAAAUUGGUAAAGCAUUGAAUGCUUUGUAGGUUGGGAAAAAUUACUUGUACCCGGAGUAGAAGCAAGAGCUCAUUACGGUUUCACAGUUUCUUGAUAGGAUUCGGGUUAAUGGUUCUUCCUCUGGUGCCCCGACUUAUCUUGCUCAGCACUCAUUGUUUGAUCAGGUUCGUUACAAUUGUGAUAUGCAUGUAUGCUUGGAUAUACAUUGUUAUCUUUUAAUUAUUUGAUAUAACUCUGAUUGUCAGAUAAACGAGCUGCGUGAGGACGUAUGUGUUCAAGCUUGGUUUGGUCUACAAAUGCUUGGUUUGGUCCAGCUGGGACUAUAACCCCUUUACACCAUGAUCCGCACCAUAAUGUGUUUGCUCAGGUACUUCAGAGUUGGUUUUCUGCAUUGAACAAUAUUUACCAUGAUCUUUGGCUUUGAGAGUUUUAUAUUCAUUACGAACAUUCUGGUUGUUGUUUUUAGGUUUUGAGUUAUCAUCUUUGAAUUCUGCUUAGAUAUUCUGUUUCUAUUGGAAAAUUGUGAGACUGAUUAAUCAGGGCUAGCCAUAGAAGUAGCACUCCUUUGUUCAAUUGGUUACUCCUUUAAAUUAUAGUUUACCUGUCCUGUCUCCAUAUCCAAGCUGUGAUGUCCAUAACCAGCCCCUACCUUGUUCAACUAGAAAUCAAAGAUCUGUAAACAGUAAAUAUCCAUGUCCACUGACAUGAAUAGAGAAUCUGAUAAUUUUUCUAGUACAUACCUAGAUCAGAUGUGCACGCCUCCAUUUGUUGCAAAGACUGCGAUUUGUAGCGGUUCAUGGAAUUUCUCUGUUUUAACUUCUAAAUGCAGAGCUAUUUUACCAUGCAUAUAUAUCUCAGGCAUAAUAGUUCCAUAUACAAAAGCAUAUGUCGUAUGCAUGUACUUCCAGAUGGCAUGUGUGUUUGUAUAUAGCUGCAUAUUUUGGCAAGUUACUUGCUUCUAUGAUCAAACGUCUAUGUGACUCGGAUUGAUCGCUCAACUUCAGGUAGUUGGGAAGAAGUAUAUAAGGCUCUAUCGUGCUUCAUUAUCAGAGGAACUCUAUCCACAUACGGAAACCAUGCUUUGUAACUUGAGUCAGGUAAUUGCAUUCUUGACCUCAUUCAAGUAAGGAAAAGCCCCUAAACAAAUUUGUCAAGAAGGCAGAUUCUAACAGUACACCCUUAUUUGCAUAUGAUUUCAUGCGCCAAGGUUAUACAUGCUUUUUAAAAAAAUACCGAGUCAUGCUGGGAUAGAAGAUUUGUGAUUACUAGUCAGUUCCUCCCAGUGAACCUGUCACUGUCAUAUUCUUGGAAAUAUCUCAUAAGCUGAAAUUGGUGGAUAGUUUAUAUAGUGGCAGUUACAUUUUAGUUACACUUAUUCAUAACUUAUAACUUAUCUAGGUUACAGACGGAACUUAGUUGCUAAAAACUGAAAUGUUGAUAUUCCUGUCAGCUUCUUUAUGUGAACUCAAUAAACAUAAUAUUAUAUAUUUACUGAUUGAAUAUACUUUGUUUGAAGGUUGAUCUGGACAACAUAGAUGAGAAAGAAUUCCCCAAGGUGCAGGACUUGGAAUUUCUCGACUGCAUUUUUUAGAGGAAGGUGACAUGCUGUAUAUCCCACCAAAGUGGUGGCACUAUGUGCGGUCUCUGACAACAAGUAUGUCAGUUAGCUUUUGGUGCAGUGAUUACGAUGGUUCAGCUACUUCUUGAUAGUUUGUGGUUAAUUCAUUUUGAUAUUGUUAGACAGGGCAGUUUUCAGUUGCAGAGUCUUAUAUUCUCAUGUAUAUAUCCUGCGGUGUUAUAUUUACAAUAAGACUUAUAGAUGUCUGAAGAAGAAGAAACUGUUUGUAACAAUUUUGAGAAUAGUGCUUUAACAUCUUUCUCGGGUCACAGUCUGUAGCCAUACACUUGCAAAGUUACUUAUCCAUUGUAUCGUAAUUGAGUUUGUUUCAAUCAAUAUGGUUCAUACAUUUUUGUGUUAUGGAGUUCAGUUUUUGAUUAAUCUACAUCACAAAAAGAUAACUUCAGAUUUGGCAUCUUUAUUUUGAUCAUCUUCAUGUAAAUGGAAUUGUUUUUCUUUCAAGGAUGAAUUUGAAAAGCAGUCUUUCAUAGUUUCCAUAGAAAGACUUGUAAGUUGUAUUCAUCUUCAUCCUUCAUAGCAUCCUCGAUAGUUUCUUUUGACUUACAAGCUUGGUUUUUAGUCACAUCCCUUUUCAUUACCAACUUCUGUGCUCAUCUGGUUUAACCAGUAGUAGGAAUGAUAUAUGUUUUUGGGUUUUGGCCCUAUAUGCCUUCACGUCACUGCUCUUCUCCCCUUGCACACAAACUUCAACCUGCUCCUCCAUGUACUUGGGCAUUCUGAGAGCUUCUCAUCUUACGGAGAACUUACAAUCUCAAACAAGUAUGCGAAUAGGUAAAUGCAUAUUAUGUACGCUCAUAUCAAAAUUGAGGAAUUUACACAAGGAAUAUCAAUUACAUCUGAUUUUCCUUAUUAUCAAAUCAACAAUGGAUACAGAUGCACGUCUGAAAGACGUAGAACCAGGAAGAAGAUAUAAAGUGGCAAAAUGAAAAUAUAUAAAUUUAUUAUCCACAACAGAGUUAUACAACUUCACAAUCAAAUGCGGGAUAUUCUUCUGGGCCACGGAAGGUCUCUGCGGUGUAUUGAUUGCAAUUAGUCCUCUGUCCACCUAUUAAAAUCAAUUCAAGAUAUAUUUAAGUAUAUAAGACGGAAAUUCAAUGCAUAUCCAAAGUCUCAAAUUCUUGUUAACAAGUCUAUUUGGAAAAGGAAACAAUUAGCUGGGAAGCAAAGGUAAACUAUAAUGCAACAGCAGAGGAAAUAACUGAAAAUACAAUAUAAAUUGCUUAAUAUACAGUGCGGUGCAAAUCAGAAGCAUAUCUAACUUUUUCAUAUUGUAGUUCUAUUAGUAAAGGAAUUAAACACAAACAUCAUAAGUGACAUGAACUUUCUAUGAAAUCAUGACAAUCAACUGUUGAAAAUUUUUCAGAGAAAAAAUUAUGGAUGAAUAGGAAUGAUAUCAAAUAAAAAUACUAACUUAAGAUAAUUACAAUUUGAUUUAUGUACUAUAGUCUGGAAUUCAAAAACUCAUUUUGAUUGACAGCUUGCAUGCGAAUCAGGGAUUUAAAUGAAAGAAAAUAUUAACAUUUUGUAUUUGUUUACUGUUUAUUGGUGAACAAUUGGACUACCACAUCACUAUGGCAAAUCAAGUAAAGUUUUUGACAAACAAACAUACCAUCUGAGUUGAACUUGUUUCUUGCUGUGGAAGUCAGAAGAAGAGGCUGAAAAUUUGGGGCAGUUCCGCAAAAAUAAGUCUUCCAACGAAGGGCACUCCAUAUCAAAAGUAGCGGUGUCGUAGUACAAGACUGGAAGUUCACUCAAACAUAAUUGCUUCAAUUUUGGAAGGAUGAUCUUCUUGUUGCUUGCUUCUACUAUCCUUUCCAAAUAAAGGCAAUUCUCCAAUUCUAAGGAGUUCAACUGAGAAAGACACUGAGCAACAUCAUAGCUGAAGAGACUUCCCUGAAACUUGCAGUAUGUAAUGGAAAAACUCUGCAGAUUCUGAAACGUCGCAGGUGGAGUAGGUCCAUCACAUAUGCUUACUGUAGCUAGAUUGAACAAAUCUAUCUUUCUCAAUUUUAAUUGCCGUAACACUAGCAAUGCCUCAUACCCAAACAUAUAUUUACUCCCGUCCGUGCCAUAAACAAGCAUUUCUUCCAAAUUUGGUAGUCUCUGUAACAAUGGAGAUGGUAAAAGUAUAAUCCCCCAAUUAUAACAAGUUUCUACCUUCAAGACCUUCAAAUUGAAUAGAGACCCAGGUGGUAGAAAUUCAAUGGCGCACAACCCCGCGCAAUCCAGCCGAACCAAGUGGAACUCUUCCAAAUUCUCAAACACAGAUCUUUUUGGUACCAAUGUUAUUGUGGGAAUUACCUCCGUUAUGCCUCGAUUUGAACCCACUAUUUGUAGAUGCUUCAGUCCCUGUAAUCUCCCAUCCUCAUGUUCCACAAAUAUGUCAAUUAACCUUCGGGCCUUUAUCCAACAUAGACUCUCUGCUAUCUUCAUUAUCUCCUUGCAAAACCACUUCGGUAAGCGACUGAUCAAGUCAAGCUUCAAGCAUAUUGUGUUACGACGAUGUCCACGAUGUAGAUCAUAGAGUUCCAUCUCGUAUGGCUCGUACCUACCUAUACGUAUAUGAAACUCAACCCCAGCUGGUAUCGACUCAACAUACUUGGGGAUACAUUCUACAUCUAACAUACUAACCUUCAAAACUCUUAAUUUUGACAAGCUAGUUACCUCGUCAAAGCCAGCAUUGGUUUCUUCUCCUGCUCCCUCAACUUUACUCCCCCACCCCUUAAAUCCUUCUAUGUAUAAUUCUUCUAAAUUACGCAACUUUGACAUCACUUUGGGUGGAAUUCUCCCAAUAUUUCCACCAGUGUUAUCAAACAUCCUUAGAUUGGUCAAGCCUCUUACUUUUAUCGACAAUUCCUUUAAACGUGAAUUUCUUAUACUAAGAAUCUCAAGUUGUUUAAGUUUUCCUAGUAUGGAAGUGUCAGUUAUGUCACAACUACCUAAAUACAAAGCUUGGAGGUUGGUUAGGAGACUGGAUGAUUGGGGAAGUAAUGAAAGGCUAGUCCAGCUAAGAUCUAAGACCCUUAAUUCAUUUGGACUCUGAAAAAAUGUUUCUGAUAUUUCUUCUAUACAUGAAUUACCUUUUAGUAGCAAAAUCUGGAGUCUUGGACAUACCAAAUUUUCAGGUAGCUUGCUGAUAUGAUUGUCCACGAGAGAGAUUGCAGAGCAGUCUUCAUGUAAUUGACGUGGCCAAUCUUUUAAACCACAACCAGCUUUCACCAAAAACCCAUGUUCAGAUUGCGAAAUUUGAAGGGCUGCAUCCCGGACAACAUCAUGCAUCCUUACAAAUGUCUCGUCACUGCCAUCCAACAGCAAGCUACAAUAUCUAAGGUGCAUGGCCAGGGAAUCAGCUCUGUCUCUCGCUUCUCCGAGUGUUUCGGCAUCUUGAAACAAUCCUUUCCCGAUCCCAUACCUGAACAAGUCUUCUAUAGGGAUGUCAUAGUCUUCUGGGAAUAAGCAACACAGCAAGAAGUAUGACUUGUAGUCCUCAUCUUUCAAGUAAUCAUAGCUUAAUUUUAUACAUUUGGAUGCUUCUCCCUUAUCGUCAGGGUUGGCAGUUUGUGACUUCUCUAGUCGCUGAGCUGCUCUCCUCCACUCCACCAAGUUUUUGUCUCCGAGUGCCCUUGCAACUGUUAUCAAUGCAAUAGGUAAGCCCCUACAUUCUCUAGCUACCUUCUUUGCCACACCCUCAAAACUGGGGGAUUCAAAAUACCUUCUUGCUUUUCUGACAAACAAGGCCCAAGAAUCUUGUUCAGAUAGAACGUUGAGGGUGAUCUUUCUUUGGCACUCCAUGGCAUGACAAACAUUCCUUAUCCUUGUGGUGAGCAGGACUUUGGAAUUGCACUUGUGAAGUUCCUUGUAGCUUGGAAUUCCAAUUCUUGAUAUGUCCGUUCUCUCCCAAAUGUCGUCCAAGAUUACAAGGAUUUUUUCCCUUUUCUUUAUCUCCUUUCCCAAUCUAGCUGCUCUUCCAAUUUCUGUCUUCUCAUGUAAUUCAAAGCCCAGCUGCUCUGCCAAUGUAUCUUGAAUUCUUUCGAAGUCAGGGUUUUGGGAUAUUACACAUUUUGUCACAUAAUCAAGAAUCCCACUUUUCCGGGCUUGUGUACCGAUAUGUUCCACUAAGGUUGUCUUGCCAACGCCUCCCAUGCCGUAGACACCAAUGGCAGUGAUCUCAUCAUCUUUAAAGGCCUCCAUAACCUCAUAAAUGGCUCGUCUUGUUACUUCAAACACUUCGAAAUCUCCUGUGGACUCAAUCGAGUCAGGUACUACUUUCGUGCUGACAAAUUCCACAAUGACGUUAACAAGUUCUUUGUGAGUCCUACAAUCAAAUAAGUAAUCAAGGGUCAAAAAAAAAAAGUGUUAGGUAAAAAAUAUAGAACCGAUUGAAAUUGAAGGCACAAUUACAACAUUGCCUCAUGCUGCUUACUUAUAUUGUUGGGUGCUCCACCCGGAGAAAUUGGCCACUUUGUUUAAAGCAUCUCUCCAUUGCUUCACCUUCUCUGAUUCAUGUCUGCCUGAGGUUUCAUGGUUAGAGAAAGCUUCUUCAAAACUCCUCUUCUGAUAUCGAACAUCACAAGGAUCAACAUGGUAAAAAAGUGGCAAAAUCCUGUUCUGGUCUUUCAUGCACUCACAAAUCUCUCUAAGUUCCUCCAAACACCAAGUAGAAGAAGCAUAAUUUUUCGAGAGAACAACAAUUGCAAACCUUGAUUUCUUAAUUGCCUCUUGUAGAGUGGGAGAAAUGACAUCACCGACUUUAAGAUCUGGAUCAUCCAUGAAUGUUUUAAUGCCUCUUCGAUCGAGUCCAUCGUAUAUGUCGGCUGUGAUCCCUUUGCGAGUGUCUGCACCCCUGAAACUCAAAAAGACAUCAUACUUCCAACAUGGAUCUGCUGAAGGAGAUGCAGAGGCUACUUGGGAGCUGGAAGCCAUUACCACCAAAUCGAAACAAGAGGCCGGCAAUCAAGAACAUGAAACAAGAAACUGCAAGAACAAGGUCUCAAGUACUGGCAGCUAAAAAUGAAACUGCAAUAGUCAAAACGAGAAAACCCAAAGUAUAGGAACUGAGGGAAGUCUAGUUGAACAGCUUGAACCGUGCAGCAUAGUCACUGUGUGGUGGGCCCGUUUACUUCUUAACCUGACCCAAAGACCCAAUUCUUAACCCGACCCGGACCGCUUAAAAGUCAGUCUGACAGAAUGAAGGGAAACCAUCCAAACAGUAUCUCAUCUUUUAUUUUUUAUAAACUUUAGCGGGCCCGCUCAAUUUGAGCCGUUAAGAGACAGAAAUGGACCAACUGAUUUGAGCCGUUAGAUCUUAAUUGGGAUGAUCAAAUGGAUAGAAAAGCAAGUCGAUUAAAACUCAAAUUUUUUUUUAAAAAAAAAAAAAGAGAAAGAAGAAGAAGAGAUUGAUUCGAUUGUCAUCCUGUAGGACAUUACCCAUAUGAUCGAGAAGAAAUCUAAAUCACCAGAUGUGUUAUAUUUUGAUGAUUGCUUUCAUGCGGUUCAAAAAAUGGGUUUAGAGAAGAAGCUCAUGAAUGUUGUGAGUCAUCUCUAGGCUUCCUGUUGGACUAAGGUAGCUUAUGAGUUGGCUGAGUAGCUUGUGGGGAUUUAGGCUGGUCCGGACUUCAAGCCAGUUGUUUUAAUUAUGUGUAAGUGAUUUAUUAAGCUUGUUUUUUUUUUUUUUAGGUCAACUAAACUUCAUUAAGAGGCCCAAGGCCUGGAGAUGUUACAAGAGGUCCAACAAGGUUCUCACAAGUCAAGCAACAGAGGCAAAUGACUAGGAAACCAAAAACAAACACCAACAACAAUGUCUGAAAACAGAAAACAACACAGAAGAGCAGAAGCCAACCCAACGAAAUAGAGUUGGAGAAAACAAGGAAGAAAAACACCGGUCCGAUGAAAACUAAAACACCCACAACCUCGGAUAGUCAUCGAUGCUCCAAAUGAUCAACUUGAAAGGGUGGGCAAGGGAGUCCGUCGCGGGAAAGGACAUGAACAAGGGAAGAAGGCGGUCGGUCAAUCCAGACCUCUGGGCACUUCCUUCUCACAACUAGCGAUGCAACCAAAUCGGCUGCAGAGUUCGCUUUUCUUGGAAUCCAGAACCACGCCAAAGAUGGGUUCGAGGUAAUUGAAUUUCUAAUCAUAGACACAAUUGGAGCAGUUCUCCAAUCACAUGCACUGCUUGAAAUAUUGAUGUUGUCCACUAAUGUCUUUGAAUCUGACUCGAGGAUAAUUGGAGAAGAAGGGAUGCGCUUGGCCACGUCGAUAGCCACCGCCGCCGCCAUCGCCUCCGCCUCUAACACAGACCCUGUUCGGCACAACAAGGUAGCUCCAUCAAAGAGGGUGCCAUGAGAAUCACGAGCUAUAGCACAAAUGCCGGUAAGCUUCGAACUUUCAAUCCAUGCUGCAUCACAGUUGAUUUUAAUAUGACCAGGAGGAGGGGGCCUCCAAAUUUGGGUCAAAUUACUCCCCGACUGCGUCUAGCUGGAGUGCAUAUAUAUGAGACAGAGAAAUUGAUCUUGACAUGAGAUUGUGGUUUUUGCAGGUGAUGAAUUCUGCAGCAGCAGUGCCAGCUUUCUUGGCCACCAUUCUUGGAUUAAUUGGAGUAGCCUCAAAGACAAAAGCAUUCCUAGCUUUCCAAAUUUCCCAAAGUAGAAAAACAACCUUGGUGAGAAACUCCUCUCUAAUUGAUUUGCAAUCAUUUAUCAUGAGAAUAAUAUUUUCGAACCACAAAUCAAAAGUAGUUAUAGCUUGAAGGUUGAUCUUGUAAUGCAAGUCAGAGGCAAACCAAGCACACACCACACCCGAACACUGUAAAAACAUGUGUUCAAUAGACUCAGGAAACAGAGCACACACCGGGCACAAGGGGGAAGAUAUUAUUUUCCUUCUGUGAAGAUUUAGAUAAGAUGGCAAAACAUUAGCCAGGAUUCUCCAUAGGAAAUUGCAAAUCUUGGGAGUAGUUUGGGUAGACCAAACCGUCUUCCACACUUUCUGAUUUAUACUGUGGGAUGAGUGAGACUACUAUGUAGUAGGCUUGCAAUUUUGAGAAUAUAUAAAAUGAUAGCCUGACUUGACAGAGUAGUGACCACUCUUUGUCUUAGGCCAAAUAAUCUUAUCAAACAUAGACUUAUCUCCCAAGCUUAUCAACUCAAUGUCCAAUUGAUCAUCCCCCGAGAUUAGGUCAUUGAUCAUAUCCAACUUCCAACACCUAGUGUCCCAAUCGAUUAGGUCUCUCACCCAAUCGAUUAAGCUUGUUAGGGUUUAUUAAGUUUAUCUAGCUCUAGCCGUUAGAUGUUGGAUGCGUGUCGAGAUCCUGUGUGUUUUGAUUAGCUAUUUAAAGCUUAAGCUUGUAACUAAGGUUUCUGCCGUAACUUUACAAUCUAAGUAUUUUCAUUUGCCAAUCCUUUGCCUUUUCCAUUUCUUCUCUUUGAUUGAUACUGUUGAUAGGAGUAGAACCCUAUCAAGUGGUAUCAGAGCCACUCUGAUCUCAGGGCCAUGGCUAAGAACAAAAUUGUUCAAGCAUCUACAACACAAGCUCACGUCAAGGAGCUUACGUAUGUGGAGUUUGAAUUGCAGGUGCAUAGAGACGAGACCUCAGCAAAAAUCAAUGCCCUUAGUGAUUCCUUGGUUCUGCAUCAAGAGGCUUUAGCAGCUUUGUGCCUCGAAAUCAUGGAAGGAUUCAAAGCUAUGAGGGAGAGAACUGACAUGGUCGAGAACUCGGCUUUGCGUUUUGGCUCACUUCCACCACCUUAUAGUCCCUCGACUUUACCAAUGGCUCAAGAUUCAGCAUCGUCGACUAGGGCCACUUCUGCUACCGCGGUUGUCAUUUCAUCAACCAAGAGUGUGACUCAACCUAAUCACAAUCAACCUCUCAACCUUAGGGAUCCAUAGGUGAUUCUAGGGUAUGCACAUGGAUAUCCAAAAGGGACAGCUCUUGUGUUUGCCACUGUUCAUGAUGUGGAGCUCUCAGUCACGGAUGGGGCUCUUGAACGUCAGAAGGGAGUUCAGAUUCACGAGAAGGGUGAAUCCAGCCUGGGUAAGUCUACUGUGAGCAUUGUUUCCCCAUCUACUCAUUAUUUCCAACAUAGUGACUUUGCUCUCUCAGCUUCUACACCAAGCUCUCAGAUCCCACCAUCUUUACCCCUUGGAUGGCAUCCGACCUUUCCUUUUCCCCAACAUAUGAACUAUCAGGGGACCUCUUCUCAUUUUGGCCCUCUCCCAUACCAACCCUAUCUACCCCAUCUGUACUCUCUACCACCAUAUCCCUAUACACACUUUGGCCACCACCACCACCCCCACCCCUCAAUAUAACUAUACACACCACCCUGCUCCACCUACACCACCUUCAAACACUCACCUAGACCCUUCCCUGCCUUCCAUGCACCAAAUGAAGUUGGAGUUCACAAGUUUUGGGGGCGGAGAUCCAGCGAGUGGCUCAAUAGGGCUGAGCAAUAUUUUGAAUUUUUUCAAGUACCAGAAGAGAGAAAACUAGCAGUGGCUACUCUCCACCUAACUGAUAAGGCUGCAGAUCGUUGGCACAUGUUCAGGCAUGAGUUCUCCAACUCAUGGCAAGGAUUGGCUGAGCUACUCAUGUGUGAGUUUAGUGCACAUAACUUGGGAGAUUACCAAGCUGCUCUAGGCCGUAUGUCUCAAACCGGAUCUGUGGAGAGUUAUAUGGAUCAGUUCACGAAGUUGUCUAGACGUGCUCCUGGCUUUUCGGCUUAAACAUUGUUGUCUUUUUUCAUGGAGAGAUUGAAAGAUAACAUCUGAGCCCUUGUAAAGGCUCAGAGACCAACAACUCUGUAGAGGGCAUGUGAGUUACCAAAGUUGUUUAAAGCUAGAGAGAAUCAACUGCGUGCUAACAACAGAAAUGCAUUACAAAACAGGCCUAACCCUCCCAAUGGUCCAAGAGGAAUGGGAGCACCAUACAUGAAUCCUAUAGCGCGUGGUCAACCUGUAAACCCCCCUCGACCACAAUAGCUGUUCCUCAUCUGGCCGGAGAAAACCCCGGAGGCAAUAGACGGCUUACUCAGGCGGAGUAUCAAGAGCGUCGAGCCCGAAACCAAUGUUUUUUCUGUGAUGAAUUGUUCUGGCCUGGUCAUAACUGCAGGAGAGGGCAAGCUCUUAUGGUGAUGGAAGUGUUGCCUGAAGAGGUAAUACAAACAAAACUAGAGGGAGGUCCGGAGGAGGUUGCUGUCAAUCAAGGUGAGGUGUUGGAACAUGAAGUGGAGUUGAGAGCUAUGGGAGAUGGUAGCUCCACAUCCACCAUGCAACUCAAAGGACUGUUGUCGAAGAGCCAAAUUCAUGUCCUGAUUGAUUCGGGGGCAUCUCACAACUUCAUAACUCCUUAUUUAGUACAAGCAGCUCAGUAUCAUGUGCAACAUAUUCCUCCUUUGCGAGUCAGACUAGUUAGUGGAGCUAUUGUGUAUACCCAUGGGAUGGUAACUGUUGAACUCAACCUUUAAGGUUUGUGUUUUCUACUAACUUUUAUGUGCUACAAGUUUCAGGUUGUGAAGUGGUUUUGGGGGCUAUUUGGCUCAAAACACUUGGAGACAUAUUAUGGAACUUUGAGACCAUGAGAAUGACGUUUGCAUUCCAAGGGAUGGUUUAUAGCUUGCAAGGACUCACGGAACCCCAAACCUCAAUAGUGAGUUGUAAAACUAUGCACAAAUUGCUCAAGAAAGAGAAAGAGGCUAUUUUAGUGCAAGUGAGUCUUCACACAACCAGUGUUCAUAACAUUGUGAUGCAUCUUGAAAUUCAGUCCCUUAUUGAGAAGUAUCAUGAUGUGUUUGCUGCCCCAACCUCGUUGCCCUCGACAAGAGCACAAGACCACAGGAUUGAAUUGUUGCCAAAUACUCCACCGGUUAAUGUGAGGCCAUACCGUUAUCCGCACUUCCAGAAGAAAGAGAUAGAGAAGAUAAUCCAAGAACUAAUUGAUAGUGGAGUAGUACGUCCUAGUGCCAACCCCUAUUCAUUUUCGGUUUGUCUUGUGAAGAAGAAGGAUGCACCUCUGUGUGGAUUAUAGAGCCCUCAAUGCUGUCACCAUCAAAGAUAAAUACCCUAUUCCUGUUAUUGAUGAGCUACUUGAUGAAGUACAUGGCUCUACAAUUUUUCAAAGCUGGAUUUGCGUUCUGGUUAUCAUCAGAUUAGAGUGGCAGAAGAAGACAUUCCAAAGACAACUUUCCGGACUCACAUAGGCCAUUAUGAAUUUCUGGUGAUGGCUUUUGGUCUCACAAAUGCACCUUCAACUUUUCAGUCCUUAAUGAAUGAUGUUCUCAGAGACCUUCUCGGAGAUUGUGUGCUAGUUUUUUUUUAUGAUAUCCUCAUUUUCAGUCCAUCAUUAGAAGCUCAUCUCAGGCAUGUUGAGUUGGUGUUUCAAAAACUACGACAUCACUCUCUGAAAGUCAAAGCCAGUAAGUGUACAUUUGGGUCGGACACAGUGGAGUACCUCGACCAUGUGAUCAGUAGGGAAGGUGUGGCUGUGGACCCUUCCAAGAUAGAGUUUGUGAAAAAUUGGCCUUUACCAGCAACUUUAAAGGAGUUGAGAGGGUUCUUGGGACUUGCUGGCUACUAUAGGAAAUUUGUUAAAGGGUUUGGCAUCAUUGCUCAACCUCUAACCAACAUGCUCAAGAAAGAUGGUUUCCACUGGGGUGAAGAAGCUGUGCAGGCUUUCAAAGCACUGAAGAAUGCUUUGGUAACCACACCAGUUUAGCUAUACCGGACUUUUCCAAGGAAUUUACCAUAGAGUGUGAUGCAUCCGAUCUAGGCAUUGGUGCAGUUUUAGCACAAGAUGGUCACCCGAUGGCAUUCAUAAGUAAAACUCUCAGCCAAAAACAUCUUGCCUUAUCAGUACAUGACAAGGAGAUGUUGGUUGUGGUCACUAUUGUUCAACUUUGGCGUCCAUACUUGUUGGGACAUCAUUUCACCAUCUACACUGAACACAAGACUAUAGAGCACUUCCUAACUCAGCGAAUCACCACUCUUGCUCAACAAAAAUGGUUGAUCAAGUUACUUGGAUAUGAUUACACCAUCAAACACAAGGCUAGGAAACAAAAUGUGGCUUCGGAUGCGUUAUCAAGGUCAGUUUCAUUGAAUGCAAUUACAGGCUCUUCACAACCCAUCCACGAUUACUUAACUGAGAUGCAGGCUGCUUGCAACAAGGACUCUAAGACUUCCAAGAUUAUCAAAGAGCUACAAGUGGACUCCAAUGCUCAUAAGCAUUUCAGGUUGUGCAAUUCGCAACUGUUGUACAAACACAGAGUGUUUGUCCCACUGGGGGAUUCUUGGAGAGAGAAGAUUAUGAAGGAGUUUCAUGAAGGGUACUUAGGAGGUCAUGCAGGCAGGUCUAGGACCUACAUGAGGUUACAUCAGCAUUUUGCUUGGCCGGGAGUACAAAAAGAUGUUAAGAAGUUUGUAGCUCAAUGCAGCACUUGCCAACAACAACACUAUGAAGCAACAAAGCCUCCUGGUCUGUUACAACCUAUCAGUAUCCCUUAGACAGCUUGGAGUGUCAUUUCUAUGGACUUUAUAGAGGCCCUACCUAAGUCUGAAGGUAGGACAGUGAUAUGGGUUGUUAUUGAUAAGUUGACAAAGGUGACACAUUUUAUCCCUCUAGCACAUCCUUACACUGCAGCUACUUUGGCUCAAAGGUUCAUCGAUGAGGUGUUUAGACUACAUGGUAUGCCAACUGCAAUCAUAUCUAAUCGGGACCCAAUCUUCAUGAGUCUCUUCUGGAAUGCAUUCUUUAAACUGCAGGGUACACAGCUGCAUAAAUCCUCAGCUUACCACCCUCAAACGGAUGGACAAAUAGAAAAUUUAAAUCAGACUUUGGAGCAGUACUUAAGAUGUGUAGUUGGAAGCAAACCACAGACCUGGAUUAAGGCUCUACCUUGGGCAGAAUUUUGGUACAACAUAGCCCAUCAUUCAGCCCUUAACAUGACUCCCUUCAAGGCUUUUAUGGCUAUGAUGCGCAAGCAAUUGCUCCUUACAUUGCUGGUUCCACAGUUGUAGCUGAUGUUGAUACUCAGUUGAAGGAGAUAGAUAAGCUCUUGUCACUCAUAAAGAGAAACUUGUCUCUUGCACAGUCCAGGAUGAAGAAUUAUUAUGACAAGCACCACUCUGAGAGAAUCUUUCAGGUGGGAGAUUGGGUUUACCUGAAGCUUCAACCUUACAAACAACAAUCUGUGACCUCUGAAGUUUUUCACAAGCUGGCUGCAAAGUAUUAUGGACCCUUUUUGGUGGUGGAGAGAAUUGGUGAAGUUGCAUACAAGCUACAGCUGCCGGCCUCAGCCAAAAUACACAAUGUAUUUCAUGUCUCCUUGUUGAAAAAGAAGUUGGGCCACUCUGCAGUAGUAGAAAGAGACUUACCAGCUGUGAAAGAUACAACUCCUUUGCAUUGGUCACCGGAAAAGAUGUUACAGGCUAGAAUGGUAAAGCAUAAAGGGGCAGCUACCACACAGUGGUUAAUUCAGUGGUAUGGCACAUCACCUGAGGAGGCCACAUGGGAAUAUGCUGAAGAUGUCAUGGAGAGGUUCCCAGACUUUCAGUUUUGAUUGUCAAGCUUGAGGACAAGCUCAUUUUGGAGGGGGCAGCAUUGUUGUGAGUCAUCUCUAGGCUUCCUGUUGGACUAAGGUAGCUUAUGAGUUGGGCUGAGUAGCUUGUGGGGAUUUGGGCUGGUCCGGACUUCAAGCCGGUUGUCUUAAUUAUGUCUAAGUGAUUUAUUAAGCUUGUUAGGGUUUAUUAAGUUUAUCUAGCUCUAGCCGUUAGAUGUUGGACGUGUGUCGCUAUCCUGUGCAUUUUGAUUAGCUAUUUAAAGUUUGUAACUAGGGUUUAUGUCUUAACUUUGCAAUCUAAGUAUUUUCAUUUUCCAAUCCUUUGCCUUUUCCCUUUCUUCUCUUUGAGUGAUACUACUGAUAGGGGUAGAACCCUAUCAAUGAACAGAUCUAAAUCACCAGAUCUGAAACCUCAUGAAGAGUUUUAGAGCACAUGAGACAUGGGAGAGGAGGGAUGAAGAUGAGGGAGGAAGAAGAUAUGGAGAUGAGAUUGGGUAAGAUAAACUAGGUUUAAAUGACUUUCUAUUCUAUCCAUUUGAUCAUCCCAAUUAACAUCUAACGGCUCUAAUCAGUUGGUCCCUUUCUGUCCCUUAAUUUCAGUCCCGCAGGUGAGUGGGCCUGUAAACUUUAUUAUCUCAAGUUUGGAGAAUAUCAAAACAGUACAUCAAGUUCUGAAUUCUGAUACCUACCCAACUUAAGGGAAAAUUCUAACAUACAAAUUUACAUACUAUACAAACUAAAUAUGUGAUUAUCAUUACUUGAAAAUAUAGUAAAAUGAUAAUUUAAUCCUCUCAAAAUGCUUUUUGUAUGCCUUUAAAUAGAAACGAGUGAACCACUUUUUGAGUUUGUAUACCGUACAUAUACAGACAAACCCCAACUUAAGUGUCUGGAGCUGUUAGUUACAUGACACCGUCUGCCAGCUAGCACAGUUUGAAGGAUAUUUUCGUCCUUCUGGUCUCUAAUGCUAAUAUUCUUUUUUUCUUCAUUGAAACUGGUUUGAAUCUGAUGUGCGCUCAAAUCAGACUAUGAUCACUUCAUUCCUUGAUACAUAUUCUGGGUUUGAUUAUGUGAUAAUAAAACUUCAGGUAGGUUUCGACCCGAACCCAUCAUUCCCUUCCAAUUGUUGAGUUCUUUUUGUAUGUGAUUGAGAAUGGGAUAUAUGAGUUUGUUAGGUGUAUGAAAGAAUUAGGGUUCAUUUCAGCAUCAUCACCCGCAGGCACCAUGGUCGAAGUGGUUGCUGUUGGCUAUGUUUUUGCACCCGUCCGGAACCCAAACGGGUACUGAACCGACUUGGUGAACUCUCCAGAGCCACAUGUGGUUCUGUAAUUCUGGGCUUUAGCUAUAGAGGCUAUGAGUAGAAGAAUCAGAACCCUUGCUUAAUCAUCUUUAAUUGAAAUCAGUGGCUUACUUUAGAGAUGAAUAUUAAGUUGUUCGGGAUAAAGUUCAAAUUCCCAAAAGAAAUAUCAAUAAAACAAUUAAAGGUUUCGUCUUUGAUUUCUGGAAAUUUGGGAAAUGAUUGAGGAAGCUUGGGUUUAAAUUGUUUGAGUGAGAUUUGAUUAUUCAGUUUGAUUUGAGUCUUUUAAAUAGGCACAUCGCAAAUGGUGGGAACCUAAGGUCUGUUGGUUUCACUGCAGAAGCAAAGAAGAAGAAGAAGCUUCACCGACGCAGCAGCCAUGGUGGCUGGUCUUGACUCGUCACUGUGUGAAAGGGGCUGGUCUUGACUCGUCACUGUGUGAAAGGAAGGAAAUUAGUCAAAUUACCAAUACAUUCUUCAUAUUAUGUGAGUUAUUAUGAGUUAACUAACAGCGUCAAUGAACUAACAGCUCCAUACACUUAUGUUAGGUAGGGAUCAGAACUUGAUGUACCUUAUCCCUCAAUGAAGUAAAAGAUAAGAUAUUGUAUUUUAGUAUUUUCUAAACUUGAGAUACUAAAACUUAUAAAGAGUAAAAGAUGAGAUAUUGUUCGGACGAUUUUUUCUUCUGUUUGUUUGUUUGGUUGUUUGUAAUUGGACCUUAACAUUUGUUGGGUCUUUUAUGGGCUAAUCUCUCAAUGAAUCUCUUCAUUAUCGAAACAAAACAAAAAUACAUGUUCCGUAAUGUUUUUGAAAAUAAUUUUUAAAAUAAUUUUUUUAAAAUAAAAAUAAGAAAAUAAGAUUGUAAUUUUCAAUUUUAAAAAUAUAUUUGGUAAUUUGUUUAUAAAAAAUAAUUUUCAUAAUUUAUAAAAUAAGAUAAUGAAAGAGUGAAAACGCCAUAUUUGAUGUUUUCAGUUUUUCUUUAUCAAAGUUGAAUUUUUUUUAAUUUCCAUUUUCUACAUUUUAAGAAAUAUUUCAACGAACACGUUUUCAUCUAAAUUUCAUUUUAAAAAAAUGAAAACACAAGCUUGAAAACGUUACCGGAUGCCACCCCAAUUUGAGGGUGUUCAUUUUCAAUGAAAAAAAAGAUACAAGGGUCAGAGGGUGUUUGCACAUGGUUGAUUCAAAGUUUCAAACAACAAAAGUGAAGGAGCCUAAUGAUGGUUCUCUCUAUUACGAGUAAGUUCCAUAACUAUUUACCAUAAUUAAACCACCCUGCACAGCCUCCUUUAUAGAUUUUUUGCCUCAGAAGUUUUGAUUUCCUGUGGCUUCCCUUUUUCCAUCUCAUACAACUUACAUAAAUGGUGACAUAGAAAGUGGGAAUUCUAGAGAACUUACAAUCUCAAACAACUAUACCAAUAAGUAAAUCCAGUUUCUGGAUUCCCAUAUUAACAAUGAAAAAGAGCAUUCACAAGUUCAAAUACAUGCCUUUUCCCAUAUCAAUAAGGAAUACAAAUGCACGAUUGAAAGAGAAGAAAACUAGGAACAAGUUUUAGAGAAACCAAAUUGUCACUGUCGUGACAGUAAAAUACAAAUGAUGAGUCACAAUAGAAUGGAUAUAUCCGUUCUGACUAAAUCUUCACAAUCAAAUGAGGGAUCUACUUCUUGGCCAUUGAAGGUCUCUUUGUGCUUCUUGUAUGCGAUCAGCUUCUUCACCAUAACCCCGAUCUAAUGGUUCAUUUGAGAUAAAAGAUAAGUAUAUAUGUUGGAAAUUUAAAGCAUCUCAAAAGUCUCAAGACCAUGUUGACAAGAGGACAUUUUACAAUAUGAAAAAUCAAGUGAAGUUUUGGACACACCAACAUACCUCUCGAGUUUGAGGUGGACUUGUUUCCUGCUGCGGAAGUCAGAGGAAGAGGCUGAAAACACAGGGCAGUCCCACAAUUCCAAGUGUUCCAACGAAGGACACUCGAUAUCAAAAGUAGCACUUUCAUAGCACAACAUUGGAAGCACCACCAAACGUAGUUUCUCCAGUUUUGGAAGGAUGAUCUUCUUGUUGCUUGCUUCAACUAUCCUUUCCAAACAGAGGCAUUCUUCUAAUUCCAAGCAAUUCAAUUGGGAAAGACAUUGAGCAACAUCAUAAGAGAAGAGACUUCCCUGCAACUGUUUGCACCACUUAAUGGACAAAGUUUGAAGAUUUCGGAACAUUGCAGGUGGAGCAGGUCCAUCACAUAUGCUUACUGUAACUAGAGAUGACAAUUCUAUCUUUCUCAAUUUUAAUUCUUUUGACACAAUCAACGCUUCAUGCCCAAACACAUAUUUACUCCCAUCCAUGUAAUCACAAAUCAGUUCUUCCAGAUUUAGUAGUCUCUGUAGCAAUGUUGAUGGUAAAACUUCAUUCCCCCAAUUGUAACAUAAUCGUACUUCAAAUACCUUCAAGUUGGAUAAAGACCCAGGUGGUAGAAAUUCAACAGCACAUAACUCCCCGCAAUCCACAUUCCACAGAUACAACUCUUCCAAAUUCUCGAACACAAGUCUUUUCGGAAGCCAUGCAGAUAUUGUCUUGUGUGACUUCAUCAACUUGUUUCUUCUGGGACCAACUACAAACAAAUGCUUCAGUCCCUGUAAUCUCCCAUACUCAGAUUCCACAAAUAUGCCAGUUAACCUCCGGCCCUCUCUCCAAACUAGACUCUCUGCUCUAUUCAUUAUUUCGUCGCAAAACCACUCCGGUAAGCGACUGAUGAUGUCAAGCUUCAACCAUAAUGAAUUAUGAACAUAUCGAUGAAACUCUGUCAUCUCAAAUGGGUCGUAUAUGCCAACACGUAUAUUAAACUCAACCAAAUUUGGUUUGAAGUCAACAUAUUGAGGGAGACAUUCUGUGUCAUAGAGACGAACAGUCAAAACUCUUAAAUUUGACAAGCUAGUUACCUCGUCAAAGCCAGCAUUGGUUUCUUCUCUUCUUUCUCCCUCAACUUCACUCUCCCAGUCCAAAAAUCCUUCCAUGUACAGUUCCUCCAAAUUAUGCAACUUUGAUAUCACUUUGGAUGGAAUUCUAGCAAUAUCAUUACCAGUGAUAUCCAACAUCCUUAGAUUGGUCAAAUAUCCUAUUUCUAUUGACAACUCCUUCACACCUGAAUUUCUCAUCCUUAGAAUCUCAAGCUUUUUAAGUUUUCCUAGGAUGGAAGUGUCUGUUUUUAGAUACAUACAAUUAUCUAAAUACAAAGCUUGGAGGUUGGUUAGGAGACUGAAUGAUAAUGGUAGAAUGGAAACACUAGUUGAGCUAAGAUCUAAAACCCUUAAUUCAUUCGGAAUUUGAAAGAAGGUAUCUGGCAUCUCCUCUAUAGAGUAAUUAUUGUUUAGUAACAAGAUUUGGAGUUUUGGACAUACCAACAUCUCGGGUAGCUUGCGAAUAUGAUUCAACAUCAGUGAGACUGCAGAGUAGCCUUUAUUUAAUUGACGUGGCCAAUCCAAUAAACCACAGCCAGCUUUCACCAAAAACCCAUGCCCAUCUUCAGAUUGCGAAAUUUGAAGGGCUGCAUCCCUAACAACAUCAUGCAUCCUUAAAAAUUUAUAGUUUUUGCCAUCCAAAAGCAAGCUAGAAUAUUUAAGGUGUCUAGCCACGGAAUCAGCUCUGUCUCUAGCUUCUUCGAGUGUUUCAGCAUCUUGAAACAAUCCUUUCCCAAUCGCAUACUUGAACAAGUCUUCUAUUGGGAUGUCAUAGUCUUCUGGGAAUAAGCAACAAAGUAAGAAGUAUGACUUGUACUCCUUAUCUUUCAAGCAAUCAUAGCUUAAUCUUAUACAUUUGGAUGCUUCUCCAAUAUCGUCCGGGUUGGCAGUUUGCGACUUCUCUAGUCGUUGAGCUGCUCUCUUCCAUUCCACCAAGUCUUUAUCUCCAAGUGCCCUUGCGACUGCUAUCAAUGCAAUCGGUAGACCACAACACUCUCCAGCUACCUUCCUCGCAACAUUUUCAAAUGUGGUGGAUUCGAAAGACCUUCUUGCUCUUCUCACAAACAAUGCCCAAGAAUCUUGUUCUGAGAGAACAUUGAGGGUGAUCUUUCUUUGGCACUCCAUGGCAUGACAGACAUUCCAUAUCCUUGUGGUCAGUAGGACUUUGGAAUUGCACUUUCGAAGUUCCUUGUAGCUUGGUAUUCCUAUUCUUGAUAACUCCAUUCCCUCCCAAAUGUCAUCUAGGAUUAAAAGGAUUUUUGUUCUUCUCAUAAUCUCCUUGUGCAAUCUCGUGGCUCUUCCAAUUUCUGUCUUCUCAUGUAAUUUGAAGCUCAACUGCUCUGCCAAUGCAUCUUGAAGUUUUUCGAAAUCAGGAUUUUGGGACACGACACCCUUAGUCACAUAAUUGAAAAUCCCACUUUUCUGGGCUUGUACACCGACAUGUUCCACCAAGGUCGUCUUGCCGACGCCUCCCAUUCCGUAGACACCAACGGCAGUGACCUCGUCAUCUAUAAGGGCCUUCUGAAGCUCAUCCAUAGCUUGUAUUGUUGCUUCAAAUGCUUGGAAAUUACUUGUCAACUCGAUUGCCUCAGGUCCUACCUUACUGAGAACAACUUCCACAAUGACAUCAACAAGUUCUUUGUGAGUCCUACAGGGAAAAAUUAAAUAAGGUCAAAAAUUAGUAAAAUUAUAUAUACAGAACCGAGAUUGAAGGCCAUGCUUACUUAUGAUCAUUUGUAUUCCAUCCAGAGAUAUUGGCCACUUUGUUUAAAGCAGCUCUCCAUUGGUUCACCUUCUCUGAUUCAUGUCGGCCAGAGGUUUCAUGCUUGAAGAAAGCUUUUUCAAAACUCUUCUUCUGAUAUCGAACAUCAGUAGGAUCAACUUGAUAAAAAAGUGGCAAAAUUCUGCUGUCAUCCAUGGAUAGACAAAUCUCCCUAAGUUCCUCCAAACACCAAGUAGAAGAAGCAUAAUUUUGCGAGAGAACAACAAUAGCAAACCUUGAUUCCUUGAUUGCUGCAAAGAGAGCGGGAGUUAUAACAUCCCCUACAUGAAGUCCUUGCUCAUCCAUGAACGUGUUAAUUCCUCUGCUAUUAAGUCGAUUGUAUAUGUCGACUGUAAUCCCCUUCCGGGUGUCAGGACCCCUGAAACUCAAAAAUACAUCAUACUUCCAACAUGAAUCUGAGGAAGGAGGAGAUGCACAUGCUAUUUGGGAGCUGGAGGCCAUUGGACAACCACAAAAUCAAAACAAGAGGCAAUCAAGAACAUGAAACAAGAAACUGCAUGAACAAGGUCUCGAAUACAUGCAGUGAUGCAGGAAAGAAGAUAUACUGCAGAAGUCAAAUGUAAAAGCCCACCAAGGAGAUAUAGUGAUUGAAGUUCGAGGAAUUGAGGAAACUAAUCGAUGAAAGAGAGAUUGGAGUCUGAACAGCGUGAAAAUAAAUCUUAGAUAGUCAGACCUUUGCAGAUUCUAGACAAAAUGACAAAUAGCCAUCUUGGAUUUGGUCUAACUAAUAGUACUAUAUCUCCACUAGCUGCUGACUAACAAUAUGAUAGCAUUAUCUUAGGUAAAGCUUCAGGGGAAAGCUUCAGGUCAAAGACCACAUGUUAAGUAAGCAUUAGCAGGUUUAAUGUGAGGGAGGCUUGUACUGUGUCUAAUAGUUAUAAUACACAUCAGAAGGAGUUUGUAAGCACACUAAUACAAUUUUCAAUGUCCACUACCAAUAUAACUUGUCUGUAACAUUGUAACUAUUUGCAACGAUGUAAAGUUGUAAACUACACACACAAGACUCAACACUGGAUAUUACUGAAUUCAAGUAUAAUAACCAGGCAUGUCUACUACUAAAGCUCCACAAGAGUAGCUUUUUAAAAAAAAAAAAGUUGUGAGGAAGUUCUUCCCUCAGGUUGUAUAGGAAAACUAGAUUAAUCACCUCCAGUAACUUAAAGGCCAAGAGACAAUGGUAACAUGAAGGAGCUAAUCCGACUUACAAUCUCAAACAAUUAUGCCAAUAGAUGCCUAUAAUACACGCGCGAUCAUAUCAACGACAAGAACAUACGAAUAUGCAAUUACAUGCAAUUUCCCUUAUGAACGUAUCAAUAAUCGAUAAAAUUUGCAAAUCAACAAUGGAUACAAUUAUACAAAUGCGAACGAAAGACAGAACUAUAUACGAAGUACAUAGAAACAAAAAGGUAUAUAUAAAAAUUUCUUAUUCACUUACUCAAAUAAAAAUUCUUAUUCACGAUAGAGUUGAAAUGGUUAGUACUUAGUUUCAACUUCACAAUCAAAUGAGGAAUCUUCUUCUGGGCCACAGGAGGUGUCUUUGCAUUUUUUGUAUGCGAUUAGUCCUCCGUCCAUCUACUAGAAUCUACUUGAGACAAAAUAUACGUGUAUCAGUUGGAAACUUAAUGCAAUAGUAGAGGAAAUAACUGAACAUAAAACAUCAAUUGUUCAAUACAGUGUGGUGCAAUAAUUUCACAACUAAGCACCCUGUUUUUUAAAUGUUAUUUAAAGUAACUUGUGAAAUAAUGACAUCAUUUGAUAAGAAAUGUUUUAAAAAGAAAUGAUGGAUGAUUACAAUUGAUGUCAACAUAUAUUAUUAACUUAAGAUUGCGAGGAACAAAGUUACAAUUUGAUUAGUGUAUUAGUGUCAGAAUUCAGAAACGGAUUUUCCUUGAAAACUUGCAUGGAUUUAAAUGAAAAAAGAGAGUAACAUAUUGUGUUUGUUUGAUUGUUUAUUGGUGAGCAAUGGGAGUACCACUAUAUUAUGAUAAAUUGAGUACAGUUUUCACACACAAACAUACCUUCUGAGUUGGACUUGUUUCCUGCUGUGAAAGUCAGAUGAAGACCUGGGGCAGCGGAACAAACACAAGUCUUCCAAUGAAGGACACUCCAUAUCAGAAGUAGCACUUUCAUAGGACAAAAUUGGAAGUAUCGAUAAACUUAACUGCUCCAAUUUUGGAAGGAUGAUCUUCUUGUUGCUAGCUUCAACUAUCCUUUUCAGAAAGUGGCAUUCGUGUAAUGCAAAGCACGUCAACUGAGAAAGACACUCAGCAACAUCAUAGGUGAAGAGACUUUUCCUCGAAGUGGCACUUCUUAAUGUUUUAACUUUGAAGAUUCUGGAACAUUGCAGAUGGAGCAAGUCCGUUACAGAUACUUUCUAUAGCUAGACCAGACAAUUCUAUCCAAGCAUAGUUCACCCAAACGCUAUUUCAAAAUUGAACUCUCCGAAGGAAGCUCUGAAUGAAACAAUGUCAACAUGAAUCAAAUGAAAUAGGCAACAUAACAUGCAACAAACAAUGAAUCACCCGUGGAACUCCGUUGUGAGUCUCACCACCACAAGAUCCGAUUCGACUUGCCGAAGAGCUGGAAUCCAACCCCUCCUGCCUGAUCCGAACGACAACAUCCUUGAUAAUGCCGCCAUCCAAUCCAAACAGCCACGUCGUCCAAACCUCAAUCAACCAAAGAUCACAGCUUAUGCUGUCAUCUCCUUGCUUCCUCGCCAUCCGGAACUCAUCAACAUGCUUGCCACCAGCGCUUGGUCUAGGCAAGAGGUUUCGCCUUUCAAAAUGCUCCGCAUCAACACGCGGCCAAAUCUUUUUCUUUUUUUUGGUAGUUUGUUUAGUAGAGCAAUUAAACACAAUCGAUCAUAUAUCAAUGACACGAUAAAAUUUUCAGAGGAAAAAUGAUGGCUGAUUACGAAUGGUAUCAAAGAAACAUAUGUUAACUUAAGAUUGAUAGAAAGAAAGUUACAAUUUGAUUGUACUGGUGUCAGGAUCUCAGAAAAUGAUUUCCAUUGAAAACUUGCAUAGAUUUAAAUUAGAAAAAGUAACUUUUUGUAUUUGAUUACUGGUUAUUGGUGAGCAAUCAGACUACCACAUUAAUAUCACAAAUCAAGUAUAGAUUUUUACAGACCAACAUACCUUCUGAAUUGUUCUUGUUUACUGCUGUGGAAGUCUGAGGAAGAGUCUGGAAUAUUGGGGUAAUCCUGCACAUACAAGUCUUCCAAUGAAGGACACUCUAUAUCAAAAGUAGCGGUGUCGUAGUACAACAGUGGAAGAUGCGUCAAACUUAAUUGCUUCAAUUUGGGAAGAAUGAUCCUCUUGUUGCUUGCUUCAACUAUCCUAUUCAAAAAGGGGCAAUCCUCUAAUACCAAGCAAUGCAACUGAGAUAGAUAUUGCGCAGCAUCAUAGGUGAAGAGACUUCCCUGCAACUUGCACCAGUCAAUGGACAAACUUUGAAGAUUCUGGAGCAUUGCAGGUGGAAUAGGUCCAUCACACAUGCUUACAGUAUCCAGACCAGACAAUUCUAUAUUUCUCAAUUUUAAUUUCUUUGACACAAGCGACGCUUCUUCAUGCCCAAAAACAUAUUGACUCCUAUCGUUGAAAACACAAAUUAGUUCUUCCAAAUUUGGUAGUCUCUGUAACAAUGUUGAUGGUACAAGUAUAUUCCCCAAGUUGUAACAAAAUACUACAUGCAAUACCUUCAAAUUGAAUAGAACAGCACAUAACUCCGCAUAAUCCAGCCCAGUCAGAUAUAAGCCUUCCAAAUUCUCAAACACAGGUUUUUUUUGGAAUCCAUGUGAGACCCCACUCCUGGAUGCCAUAGAAUAAUUCGGGAUCCAAUGUAUUCAGUAUGUUGAGAUGCUUCAGUUUCUGUAAUCUCCCAUGCUCAGAUUCCACAAAUAUGUCAAUUAACCUUCGGCCACCUAUCCACUGUAGACUCUCUGCUAUAUUCAAUACCCACUCUGGUAAGCGACUGAUGAUGUUAAGCUUCACGCAUAUUGAGUUAUGACAACAAUAUCGAUCAAAGAACUGACUUAGAGCCAGCACCCGCAUAUCGAUUUCGUCGUAUCUACCGAUAUGUAUAUCAAACCGAACCCAGUUAGGUAUGAACUCAACAUUGUCAGGGGUACAUUCUGCAUCAGAGAUGCUAGCCUUCAAAACUCUUAAAUUUGACAAGCUAUCGUCAAAGCUAGGAUUGGUUUCUUCUCCUUCUCCCUCAACUUUACUCCCCCACUCCCUAAAUCCUUCUAUGUACAGUUCUUCUAAAUUAUGCAACUUUGAUAUUACUUUGGAUGGAAUUCUACCAAUAUUUCCACCAGUGUUAUCCAACAUCCUUAGAUUGGUCAAACCUCCUAUUUGAUGCAGGGAGAAGCAAGAGAUAGUGUGAGAGUGAAUAGGGUGGGUUGGAGAGUGUUGAUAGAUUAUAGAAAACAGAAGGAUUUUAGGAGAAACAGGAGUUUCUUAGCUGAAGAAGGGAGAAAUAGAAUAAGGGAGGUUAGGGGAGAGGAUACAAGGCCAAGCCUUCAAUAAGAUAAACUCUUAAUUCAUUCCAAUCUGCCUUCGGAUUACAUUAGAAAGCCAUAUUUAUAGGCUUCAAAUAAAACCCUUAGACUCCUAGAAUACCACAAGACUAAUAUAACUGAUUAAUAAUAAUAAGACUCUUAAAUACUUAAAGAGACAUAAAGACACACUCAAGACUCUUUAAAACACUAGACUCAUAAUUAUUAUUUUCAUAACUGAAAAUAAACUUUGUAACUGAAAAUAAACCUGUCAAUACUCUUAAACUACCAAGUAGACUUUCCUUUGGACCAAAAAGGGUUGGGCUUAGUCUUUGGCUUCCAAAGAGGAUAUUUCUGUUCCAGCCAGCUUAUGGCUGCCCCAUUACUAUUUCUACUGACAACUCCUUCAAACGUGAAUUUCUCAUACUAAGAAUCUCAAGCCUUUUAAGUUUCCCUAGUAUGGAAGUGUCAAUUAUUAGAUCUUUACACUUGUCUAAACACAAAGCUUGAAGGUUGGUAAGGAGACUGCACGAUUCUGGUAGUAAUGAAAUAUUAGUUUCAGAAAGAACUAAAACCGUUAACUCAUAUGGACCUUGGAAGAAUGUCUCAGGUAUAUAUUUUAUAUAAAUAUUACGGUUUAGAAACAAGUUUAGAAACAAAAUCUGGAGUUUUGGACAUACCAGCUUUUCGGGUAGCUUGCUGAUAGGAUUCCCCAUUAGUGAGAUUGCAGAGUAGCCUUCAAGUAAUUUACGUGGCCAAGCCUCUAAAUCACAGCCAGCUUUCACCAAAAAUCCAUGCCCAUCUUCAGAUUUUGCAAUAUUUAUUGCUGUAUCCCGGACAACAUCAUGCAUACUUACAUAUUUACUGUUUCUACCAUCCAUAAGCAAGCUAGAAUCUUUAAGGUGCCUGACCACAGUAUCAGCUCUGUCUCUGGCUUCAUCGAGUGUUUCAGCAUCUUGAAACAAUCCUUUUCCAAUGGCAUACCUGAUUAAGUCUUUUAUUGGGAUGUCACAGUCUUCUGGGAACAAGCAACAUAGCAAGAAGUAUGACUUGCAGUCCUCAUCUUUCAAGUAAUCAUAGCUUAAUCUUAUACAUUUGGAUGCUUCUCCGACAUCCUCCGGGUUGGCAGUUUGGGACUUCUCUAGUCGUUGAGCUGCUCUCUUCCAUUCCACCAAGUUUUUAUCACCGAGUGCCCUUGCAACUGCUAUCAAUGCAAUCGGUAGACCCCUACAUUCUCCAGCUACCUUCCUUGCCACACCCUCGAAAGAGGGCAAUUCGAAAGACGUUCUUGCUUUUCUCAUAAACAAGGCCCAAGAAUCUUGUGCUGACAGAACCAUUGAGGGUGAUCUUUCUUUGGCACUCCAUGGCAUGACAAACAUUCAUUAUCCUUGUGGUCAGUAGGACUUUUGAAUUGCACUUUUGAAGUUCCUUGUAGCUCGGUAUUCCUAUUCUUGAUAAAUCAAUUCUCUCCCAAAUGUCGUCCAGGAUUAUAAUGAUCUUAUUCUUCUCUUUUAUCUCCUUACUCAAUCUCGCUGCUCGUCCAAUUUCUCUCUUCUCAUGUAAUUUGAAGCCCAGCUGCUCUGCCAAUGUGCCUUGAAUAUUUUCCAACUCAGGGUUUUGGGAUGCGACACUGAUAAUCACAUGAUCAAAAAUCCCACUAUUUUUUCCAUGUGCAGCGAUAAGUUUUACCAGGGUUGUCUUUCCAACGCCUCCCAUGCUGUAGACACCAAUGGCAGUGACCUCAUCAUCUGUAAACGCCUUCAUAACCUCAUACAUUGCACGUCUGGUGACUUCAAACACUUCAAAAUCUCCUGUGGACUCAAUUGCAUCAGGUACUACUUUCGUGCAGACAAAUUCCACAAUGACUUUAACAAGUUCUUUGUGAGUCCUACAAGCAAGUAGUCAAGCAUCAAAAAUAAGUGUUACAUAAAUAUAUAGAACCGAUUGAAAUUGUAGGCGCAAUUACAACCAUGCUUCAUGAUGCUUACUUAUGUUCUUGGGUGUUCCACCCGAGAAGUUGGCUAUUUUGUUUAAAGCAUCUCUCCAUUGCUUCACCUUCUUUGAUUUGUGUCGGCGAGAGUUUACAUGCCUGGUGAAAGCGUCUCGGAAACUGUGUUUCUGAUAUCAAACAUCAGUAGGAUCAACAUGGUAAAAUAGUGGCAAGAUUCUGUUCUGGCCAUUCAUGCACUCACAAAUCUCUCUAAGUUCCUCCAAACACCAAGUAGAAGAAGCAUAAUUUUUCGAGAGAACAACAAUUGCAAACCAUGAUUUCUUAAUUGCCUCUAGUAGAGUGGGAGAAAUAACAUCACCGACUUUAAGAUCUGGAUCAUCCAUGAAUGUUUUAAUGCCUCUCCGAUUGAGUCCAUCGUAUAUGUCGACUGUGAUCCCUUUGCGAGUAUCAGGACCCCUGAAACUCAAAAACACAUCGUACUUCCAACACGGAUCUGAUGAAGAAGGAGAUGCAAAUGCUAUUUGGGAGCUUGAGGCCAUUGGAAAACCACCAAAUGAAAACAAGAGGCAAUCAAGAACAAGAAACAGCAAGAACAAGAUCUCAAGCCCUGGCAGCUAAGAAGAAACUGCAAUAGCCAAAAUGAGGAAACCCACUAAGGAGAUAAAGAUAGAAUUGAACAGAGGGUGUUAGAGUCUGAAGUCUGAACUGAACAGCAUAGAAAUCAAUCUUAUAAGACUUUUGACAAGUCUUACUAGUAGCUGUGGUGGUUAUUUCACAACCUAUAGCGUAUACGCUGUCAAAUAAACCAUCACAGCCUACUAGUUCUCUAGCAACACAAAACCUUGGCUGAGGAUCACAUUAUUUUCGGUGAUAUUUGGUCCAUCUCCUUUUCUUCUCAAAUUCUCGUCCUCCCAUCUCUCUCUCUCNNNNNNNNNNNNNNNNNNNNCCUCGUCGUCGUCGUCGUCGUCGUCGUCUCUCUCUCUCUCUCUCUCUCUCUCUCUCUCUCUCUCUCUCUCUCUCUCUCUCUCUCUCUCUCAGAGUGAAUUGCUGAGGACUUCAUGGACCUCAGGAAGAAACCAGCUGAAAUUAAAGAACAAACCAAAGCUGCAAUUAAUGGGAAGCUGCUUACAGAUGCAACUGAAACUUCAAUACUGACAGCAAGCCAGGUAACUAAAAUCUUAAGAGUUAAAAACUACAUGACUCCACACACACACACUUCAGAAACCAAACAGAAACAAAGCACUGACCCAACUAUACUAAUCAAUAAAAGCACCCAACUUUGUUGCUACAAACAAAUACUCCAAUUCAAAAAUGUAGACCCAAUUUCACAGAUAUGACAGCAAUGCGAAAUAGAGCUCAUGCAACUAUCCCAAACCCGAUACCAGUCUCAAUCCCAAACACCAAAACCCAUCAAUACCCAAAAACCCAACAGUGAGUUAAAGCUUAAAGCUUAUGAACAUGAUAGAGAGGGAAAGUAACGUACUUGGUGAUGGAGGUCGAGAGAGGAAGUGGUUUGUUGACUUUGUUCUUCAAUUUCAGCUAUGGUUUCUUCCUGAGUUCUGUUUAUGAAUUCUGAGAGGAGAGAAACAGAGAGAGAUGGGAAAAAGAGAAUUUGAGAAGAGAAAGAGAUGGACCAAAAUACCACCUAAACUAAUGUAAGAGAAAUCCUGGCCGUCCAUUAAGAUUGGAUGGGCCAGAUUCAUUUUAUUAGGACCCUAUUUGCAUAAGCCUAAUUAGAAACACACAAAAAAGAGAAACAGGGCAAAACAGAGAGGCGCCACUAGCAGCUCAGAGACAGAAACAGAGAGAGAGAAUGGCCACAGCAGCUAUCAACUUGGGCCUUGUAAAGCCUUCACCUUUCACUGUUCCCAAGUCUCAAAACCCUUCAAAGCUUAGGGUUUUCACUCUACGGUGCUCCUCCGCCACCGCUAAUGCCGUCUCCGGUAUACCCACUUUUGCUACUCUGCUUUCAUUGCUCUCUCUAGGACUUGUAAAGAUUCAAUUUUUAUGUGAUAAUGGUUUCCAAUGUACUGUGAGGUUGAUUUUAUUAGUAAUUAAAGUGAAGAGAAAACCGAUUGGCUGCCAUGCAACAGUUGAUGUUGGUUUUAUGUUUUGGGCUCAGUGUUCUUGUUUUAGAUGAAUAAAAACCAAUAGGGAUGGUAUAUAAUGCACGUAUCUUUUUGGUUUUGGCCAUUUUUGCUUUAUUAUCAUUCUGUGUUGAAAAGUUUAAUGCUUUUAGAGUUUUAGAAUUUCCUAGUUAUUGGUAAAUUGGAGUAGCUUGGCUGUUUUUUUUUCUUUUGUUUUGUUCCUGCUUUUGGUUAACUUUGAUUGCCUGACUAUGCGUUUGGAGGGAGUAUGUGGAGGUCUUAGUAAUGGGAUUUGAAAACUUAGGAUUGAAGUCAUAAGGAUUUUAUGAGUUUUCUUGUUACACUAGACAAUCAGAUAAAAUAUAAAGAUUUGGUUAACCUGUGAUUCGUAAUUCUAUAAAUUUGACAAGUGGUGGUAGCAGGUUUGGGAUAGUGCAGAGCAAUGGAACUAUUGCAUGUUAGUCCCUUAGAUUUUUCAUCUUUGGGUUUUAUUUAUUUUUAUUUUACUCUUUGUGCUUCAGACUUGUCGGAAAGACCUUGGAAGACUUCAGAUGCUAGACUUGUGCUUGAAGAUGGUUCAAUCUGGAAAGCAAAGUCAUUUGGUGCUUCAGGAACCCAAGUUGGUGAAGUUGUAUUCAAUACAUCCUUGACCGGGUGGGUUGGCUUAUAACAGUUGUGUGCAUUCUAAUUUCUAUUAAUAUGUUGGGUUUGUGGGCUUCCUAUCUCCAGUGGUGCAUCACUAAUUCCCCACAAGAAACACACGAGUUUGCCUUCCCUAGAAAAUUUAUACAUUUCUGAUCACUUAUUGCAUAUGAGAGUGUAGAGAAGUCCACUUUUGUAGGGAUGAAGGAGAUAUAGUCCUUGCAUUAAUGGAAGUACUCCUCUUUGCUUUAGUUGGGAAUCGUCAGUUCAGCUUGCUCAUACAUAAUCUAUGGUACAUUUUUUUUGCAGGUAUCAAGAAAUUAUUACAGACCCAAGUUAUGCUGGCCAAUUUGUGCUGAUGACGAACCCCCAAAUUGGAAAUACUGGAGUGAAUUUUGGUCAGUAGAGUUUCCUUUCGUAAUAUUUGAGAAUUAUACCAUCUUCAAUAUGUUGAAAUCUGAUGAUACUACUUUCCAUAUCAGAUGAUGAAGAAUCAAGGCAGUGCUUCCUUGGUGGUCUAGUGAUCAGAAGUUUAAGUAUCAGGUAUACAUCCUUGUUUAAAAUUGAUGUAGAAACAUCAAUAUUAGAAGCUUCACUGAUUGAGCUGUUCUCAAUUAUUUCAAUGAACUGCUUCUGUUUGUUGUUUUGCAGUACUUCAAAUUAUAGAUGUGCAGAAACUCUUGGUGAUUAUUUAGCAGCAAGGAACAUCAUGGGAAUUUGUAAGUUGAACCAUUGCUUUAGUCUUGAAGGCACUGAUAUUUUCAGAGUCAUGUAAUCUGGUGUAUGAUUCUGUACGUUUUAACUUCUGGUGUUGAUCUUUGAUGCUGACUGAUUAUGCUACAGAUGAUGUUGACACACGAGCUAUCACCCGCAGAUUAAGACAAGAUGGAAGCCUUAUUGGUGUUUUGAGCACAGAAGAGACAAAAACAGAUGAGGAACUAUUGGAAAUGUCUCGAUCAUGGGACAUUGUUGGUAAGGAUGUUGUGGAGUUAGUUAAAAUUAUGCAUAGGUUAAAAAUUCUUAUUUUCUAAAUCUAACUAUGCACUUUGCAGGGGUUGACUUAAUAAGUGGUGUUUCAUGCAAGACCCCUUAUGAAUGGGUUGAUAAAACCGAUUCUGAAUGGGAAUUUAAGUCCAAUAGAAAUGAUGGAGAGGCUUUUCGUGUAAGUCUGCAUUAAGUUCUAGUUUUAAGUAGUCUCAUUCGGUAUUUGGUUCGUUCUUUUGGUAUUAAACUAAAACAGGGAGGAAAAAGAUACAAGUAUGAGAAGUACCGAGAUGACAUAUGUCAAGAGAUGAUAGAUAGAAGAAUUGAAUAGUUUUUGAAGUUAAAAAAGAAAAAUUCAGUUUUAGUUUUACCUAUUAUUCUGACUCUUCUACAUCUCAUGCCUCCAUUCUCACAUGCUCUUCCCUUUACAUUUCUGUUAAAAAACCAAAAGAAAUCUUACCUCUUGCUGAGAGGUUGGUAGUGCAGCCUUAACUGACAUUUUCUAUGGUUAUGAAUUGAAGGUUGUUGCAUAUGAUUUUGGAAUCAAGAGCAACAUACUUAGGCGAUUGGCUUCCUAUGGUUGCAAAAUUACUGUGGUGCCUUCAACAUGGCCAGCAUCAGAGACUCUUAAGAUGAAACCAGAUGGGGUCCUUUUCAGCAAUGGCCCUGGAGACCCAUCCGCUGUUCCAUAUGCUGUUGAAACGGUCAAGGAGAUUCUUGGAAAGGUUCCUGUUUUUGGAAUUUGCAUGGGCCAUCAGUUGAUUGGCUUGGCGUUAGGCGGUACAACUUUUAAAAUGAAGUUUGGUCACCACGGAGGAAAUCAUCCGGUCUGUAAUCUUCGUACUGGACAUGUUGAGAUAAGCGCUCAGGUGGGUAAAUUCUAUCAAUCUCUUGUAGAAUGUGAUACCUUUUUAAAUUGUAUCAGAAAUUUUAAAGAACUGAAAUGCCCCCUGAAUUAAACAUAUCAGUGAGCUAUUUUGCUAAAUUAAGUUAAGACCGUAUAUUGACGUUUCUACUUUUCAUUUUGUGGCAGAAUCACAACUAUGCAGUUGACCCCAAAUCACUUCCAGAUGGUGUAGAAGUAACUCAUGUCAAUCUGAACGAUAAAAGCUGUGCUGGCCUUGCUUACCCUGCACGAAAAAUAAUGUCUAUUCAGUACCACCCUGAAGCAUCCCCAGGACCUCAUGACUCGGAUUAUGGUAAUUUAAAUUAUACUUCUAUACACUGAUAGACAACUAUUUACCAAUAUCACACUAAUGAUAUAGGUGCUUGCACCAGUAGAACAGAACACUCUUAGUGAUGAACUUUUCAUAGUAUAUCUAGGAACACCGUUACCAUCUGAAAGGUGAAGGUAUAGCUCAUAGCACGAGUAUCAAUCCCCAUGCUGCUUCUUCCAACUGUUUUCUCAGCUAACAAACCCAAUACUGCUUUUUAGAAUAAUACAUCCUGCACGAAUCUACUAAACGAAAAUGAUUUGUUGUGGGACUUUUUUAUUGCAGCUUUUAGAGAAUUCAUUGAGCUGAUGAAGAGAGUGAAGGUAAAUGCAUGAGAAAUAUCUGCACUCAGCAAUUAUUUGAGGGAUCAAGCAGCUAGUUUUCAAAUGGCGGUACAGACAUCCAGGCCCUGCUCGUGUCUGACUCAAUGGGAUUAACAUUUGCGGUUGCAGAAAACUAGUUAGGACUUGGGAGUGCUUUUACUUUCUCUACCGUCAGUAUGUUUGUAGUGGUAUUGUGUAAUAGUUGGGAUGAUCCCUUGCCAUAUUUAUAAUUGGCGUUUUUGAAGAACAAGUUGCUUAGCCACCCUGUGUAGCUUGUCACAAAGAACUGUCUCAUGAAAUAAUGUCAAACGAUUUGAUCGUGCUUUAUGCGUGGAACUGUUUUUAUAUCAUCACAAAUGCAUGCCAGGAUAUUUUGGAUCGUUUGAAAAGUAAGUUGUUACUGAAUUUUAUUGUUUGCCCUUUUAUUUGAAGUUGUCCCCGAAUUUUGUACAGUAGAAGUUAAUGAGCAAAAUGUUAUUGGAUGCUCAAGCAAUAGUUGGCGUAGUGUAUACUACACUACCCCAUGUUCUAUACAUUUUUCAAUGGAAAAAAAAAACAGUUGAAGAAUAUUAAUAUGAACACCAAAAUUACAGACUUCUCUUGUUGAGUUACCCCUUUUAAAACCCCUCUUAGUUGAUAAAGAAAUUGACAAGAGAAAGGAAAAGAAAACAGAAACUCAACUUGCUUGACCUGCAGACUUAUACCUGCAUAGAACCUUGCACCUUAAAACCCUAUCCUGAACAUAAAACCCUGGCAUUACCAUAAUCUUAACCCUGCUUGAACCAUGUGACCUCUGUCUCUCCAUAAACAUGUCUUCCAUGUAAUGUGGAUCAAAGCUCCUAUUCUCUUCCACCCUCAAAAUCCCCAACGGCGGAUAGAAUGAAAAUGCAAGCAAAUGAAGCAACCAAAUGCAUUUGGUAGCUACAAAGAAUGCUUGAAGAACUUGCUCAGGCCAUGGCCUAGUCCAAUUUAAUGUUGUAAUGAUGCAACUCAUCUUCUGAUCACAGAACUUGCUGAAUUCCUCACAAUAAUACUUUGUUCCCUUCCUCAACACUUCAUUCCAGCUUAAGUUUCUUAGUGCCACGAAUGAAGAAAACUGUGCUUGGCGAGCUUGGUGAGGAUCUAGAAGCUUAGGUGAGCCAUGCUUCUGGAACACACAGUUCUCAAAGUCCUGGUAGAGUGACUGGUUUAUGAUGGCUUCCAAGUGGUAUGACACAGCUUUCGAAUACUUGGAAUUCAAUGACAAUUUGAAUGGUUGGAGGAGCAUGUUCAAAUUAUCCACCAAGGUGUUAUCUGUUAGUUCAAUUUGUGCUACAAGGAUUUUGCAGAACUGUCUUACUGAGAGUCUUGCUUCGGAUACUAUCUGCAGGAAACCUUCUACCAUUACUUCCUCGCUAACCGGCAUUAAGUUUUCUGCAAUCCCAUUACUUGAUUUUCCUCCUGGUCUGUUUGGGAAAUUGCCAAUAGUUUCUGGCAUUUGGAAGUUCUUAUUACCAUGUGUUGCUUGUCUCAAAGCCUUCUUCAGCUCUUCACAGUAAGUUUCCAAGUACUCCAGCUUCUGCUUCAGCUCUCCAAGCGAAGAUCUCAUCUCAGAAACCUCCUUCAACGCCGAGUCUCUAUUCUCAUUUGCUUGUAUGAGCUCUUUCUUCAAUACUUCCACUGACAUUAUCCCAAAAUCCUUGUAGACUUGAGAAACUUCCUCGGAUUCUGUCCGGAUUGGAGAGCUUCCAUUCUUGUGCUUCUUCUUUAACCGCGGAAACAACCAAGACAUCACUCCCCUACUUUUUGGUUGUGACUGCGUAGUGGACACAUGAGAAUCUGUUAAUGGCACAACAAUGUUAGAAUUCCUGCUGUUCCUGCAGGUUGUGUUUUCGGGUUCACUGGUUAUAGUUGCAGGCUUGCACCUAUUACAAGAUGAGAUUGAGUUGAAAUCCCCCAAACUGUUUCUCCUACUUGACCUGAAGUACUCAGUACCUGGUGAUGUUUGAAGCACGGUGAUGUUGUUUGCACAUGAGCCAGUGACAGAUUUGUUAUCCUCAGCUGGACAAAUGUGGGAUUCAAAGUUGGACAAAUCAGAAGGAAACCCUUUUCUUGAAGAUGAGUUUUCCUUGUAGUUUGACACAACUGAUUCAUCCCCAUUUCCUUCUAGCCCAUAAUCGUCCCAACUUUCGGAUAACGUUCUGUUCUUCAUCGGAUUUUGAAGAUACCCUGAUGAAGGUUCGUCUUCAUAACUCUGCAAAAUGACUCCAAAUUAGUAAACUUCAACAGUAACUCAAUCCAGUUCAAGAUUCCAACUUUAUAAUAUUAGUCAUUAGACUCAUUACAUAGAAAACUUUAAAAUGUCUACUAAUUUAAUGUGUACUUCUCCUAUGUUCAUAAAAAUGACUUGAUUUUUAUGUAUUCAACCAAAAGCAACCUAAACACUAUUUCUAGAACAGAAAUGCAUUGAGGUAGUUCAACCAUAAGAUAGAUUACAGUAGUGAAAAAUCUUAGACUAAAAUUAGUCCUACAAAAUAUUGAACCUUCAUUUUUUCAAACUGGGAACUGAAAUUAAAUGAUAAAUUGAAGAGACACAUUGGAGUAGUAAUGAAUUAACUGUCUCACAAGAACAAACAUAACACAGAAAAAGCUCCAUACUUUUUGUGUAAAAAGCAAGAAACCAGGGUGAAACAGAAGUAACUCACAGGCGUGAAAACAGGGUAGUCCUGAGCAGAGAAGUGAGAAGCAUGGCGUGAGUUAGCUGGAGAAGCAGAAGAUGGGAACCUAAGAUUUGCAGGGCUGCUUCCUUGAACCAAAGCAGCAUGAAGAGCUCUAAGCUCCACGGCUUUGGCAAUGGCUGCUUGGAUUUCCACUCUGUUAAUCUCACUUUUUUUGAUGUUGUUGUUGCUGUUUUGGUCUGGGAAAAUUCUGGUGUCAGUAGCCAUGAAUGAAACAAAGGAAACAACAAAAGGAAGAAGUGGGUGGGAAAUUCUUAUUCACUCAGAGAAACAGAACAAAUUAAGAGGAUGAUGAACAAGUGGGUGGUAAUCCAAUGCUUGGAUUUGGUAAUCCAAUGAGAGAGAGAUAAACUAUAGAGAGAGAGGGGGAACACAAAAGCUUGAAGACAAUGAGUUGGUUUUGGCUUGGUGUGUUGUUGAUGGAUUUUUGAUAGAAUGGGGAGAGAGCAUGUGAAGCAGAGAAAGGAAAGAAGAGUAUUUCUUACUCAAUACAUUACAAACAGUAUGGUUCAGAAGUGACCAGAUUACCAAAAUGCCCAUGGUUUCCUAGAAUAACCAUGUAGCCAAACAUGAUGUGGUGGUGUUGGUGGUGGUGCUACUGUGAACAUGAUUGGUUUUGGUGGUGGUGCUAUUACAAGGUGCACUACUGCUGCUAAUGGUGUUCAAUUUCAAGUGUCAACUUUAUUUUGAAGUUCAAUUGCAUAUUUUGACUGCACAUGCUUUCCUUUUCUUGGUGUUCAUGUUGACAUUAUGAUUAAUAUAUUAGUUACAUGAUGAUAUGUAAUACCACUCAGAUCUUAGAAAAAAAAAAAAAACUAAGUGUUUUUUGCAGAGUUCCUCAAUAACUGGGUUUAAUUUGAUUAAUUUUCUCUGCAAAAAGCACAAGAUGCUUUCUAAGAUGCCUAUAUGAGCAUCAUAGAUAUGUGCUUUAACCUAAAAGAAGCUUAAGCAGUGAAAAAAUGCCUUCUGCCCCUAGGUCAAGUUUUAAGAUCAUUAGGCAAUUGCUUUUAAGAUGAUUAAUCAUUAUAGCAAAGUGUUACGGUUCACUCUCUCCUCCUCGAGUCUUUGAGUAUAUUAUCGGAUUUAAACACUAAAACAAUGUUAAUAGAAAGACUAUACAUGGUAAACAUCAACAAUAAAAUUAGCUUCGCUAAGAAUACUACGAGAGAGGGUAGUUUAGUCUGUAAGAAAAACAAUGUGAGCUGUUCAAGUGCCGAAAGGAAGUAGUGGACAGAAAAUAUCCAAAACCUUCCAAACACUCGUUGUCUUGCUUUUCUGUAUUUCAAGUGAAUCUUGCAAAGCAUGGUGCUACAGCGGGGACCAAAUGGGGACUCCAACAAGUGGCAUCUCUGGAAAUAACAAACAACUCUUUGAUCUAAUGUAGGAUUUAGGAAAGGUUUAGCAUUUUCUUCAUGAGUUGGUUAACUUGGUUGUUUUAUUAUAACUACUCUGCUUCAAAAUACUAAUUAUCUUAAGCAAAAAUCAACUUUCUGAAGCAACCAAACCACCAACUCAAAAGUAGUGUGUUGAUUUGUCAACUUCCACAUGCAAAAAGUGUGGUUCUUUUGUUAUUCAUCUGGAUUAUGGUUUAACUUUUUUUUUUUUUUUUUUUUUUUUAAGUUGUUACAUUUGAAUGCUUUCGACGCGAACUAACAGUUCGUCUACUCAAUUAAUUGUUCAAUUGUUGUUCGAUUUAAAUCCGGUAAAACUAAUUUAGUUGUAAUAUUGUUCUUGCUUCUCAGUCGUGUUGAACUGCUAAUAGUAGCGAUCGCUUCUCAAUUGUGUUAAACUGCCAACAGUAGUAUUGUUUAGUUUUUACCAACUCAAUUAACUAUGAGGUAGUUUAGCCAAUAAGCAAUGACAAUUAACAAAUUAAAGCUAGAUACCUACGAACUAAUGAUAAUAUUAAUUAGAUUUUUAGAUAUGAGAAACGUGAUAUAGAUGCAUGGUCAAAUACUCAAAUUCUACUCUUCCUUUGAUUCAAAGCAAAUGCUCAAUAUAAACAAUCUUUCCUCUAUAACGAGUCUAAUGACCUAAAGAAACUCAUAUCCUAGCUAGACUUUUCAUGAGUUGUUAGUUGGUACAAAUAAUUGGGGCGUGCAAGACAACCCAAGUUGCGAUCGAAUUGAUGUAGACAUGCAUGUAGUAUAUAAACACAUAAAGCCAGUUUUAUAAGAACAAUUAGUGUAUAUAGUCAAGACCUAGGGGAAUUGUUGAAAGUAAUAUAUCGACUGAUGAGAAGACAAAUAAUUCGAUGAACGGUCUCAACGUACUUAAGAGUUUACGCAUAUGUUAAAGAGAAUCGGUUAGCUUAAUUAAUAUUUGGUGUAUCUUUCAUUGGACAUGAGGGAAUAUAUGUAACACGAUAAGAGGCAAAGAUACAACCAAGUACUAGCUCCAACCGAAACAUGCAGGCAACCAUUAUUUUCUUCUUUCUAGUGAAAUGUCAUGCACAAUCAAAACAAGAAUAGCUUAUUGGCUCUAUCACUUUGUGAACUGUGCAGCUUGGCUAACUAUGGUAGCCAGGUAAAAUACAACUAUUCUCUGCCUCUGCCAUUUUCAAGUAUAUAUUCUUCGCCAUGUUAAAAGCAAAAGUACAGAGAUAGAUUUAUAUAUAUACCAAGCUGUUGCUGGGUUUGUCUUCUUUUUGUUGUUCGAUCCUAGUAAAAGGGGAUUCUGGUUUAACCCAUUUGAUCACCCUUUUCCUCAUCACCAUUAAUUACUUAAUUUAAACACAGUUUUAUAUGUAAACUUGUUCUUGUUAGUUAGCUAGCUAGUUGUGGCAUCUUUGUUCUUUCUGGGGAUUCACCUUGUGUCUGGUCUAGUUCUUCUAAAUCAGCAUUAAGCUUCUGCUUUGUCUAAUUACCUGUCUUCAUGUCUGAGUUGUUCUUCAUGUUAUCAAGUUAAGCCGUUUAGGUACAAAUUGGAAAUGAGAUUUUCAUCUUUAUUUGAUUAUUUUGAUGACAACCUUAAUUUGCUCAUAUCCUACUUUGUCGUAAUGGUUAGAUGGCAUGUAUAACUUAUCUUAGAAAACUUUGAAGCUGUUGAAAAUUAACUUCAAACAUUGUAAAUGCUGGUGAUAAUGAAAGCUGGUUGUCCCACACUAGUUCAAAUAGGAAGAAUUAAAGAGUAUGCAUUAAUUUAACUGAUUAUUGUGUACUUUCAGAAUACAAAAGAUGGAUUUGGUGUAAUAAUAUUUGGAUUUAGCGUGUACGUGGUUUCAAAUUAUUUUUCACACUGAUCCUUCUCAGCUGCGGACGUCCGCAUUUAUUCUUACAGUGCGGAUUUCCAUUUUACACUCACUUUUCAAUCGAAUUUUCACAUUUCCACCGUCCAAUAUUUAGAUACUAAUGUAUAGAUCAUCUCUGCAAAAUUUCAGGCAAUUUGGUUAUCAUUAAGGCACUCAAAACUUAAACAUGAACGGUUCAAGUUUGACAGAAUUAUGUUCAUCCAUUGGUUUAAUCGAGUUUGAAUACCUUAAUGAUAACCAAAUUUGCUGAAAUUUUGUAAAGAUGAUCUAUACAUUAAUAUCUAAAUACUAGAUGGUGGAGAUGUGAAAAUUCGAUUGAAAAAUGAGUGUAAAUUGGAAAUCCGCACCGUAAGAAUAAAUGUGGACAUUCGCACCUGAGAAAAUCUGUAUAUAUAUAUAUAUAUAUCCACGAACGAGAAAUUCACAGUAAAUUUUAUUUCUUUAACUUCACUUCUAAAGAAAACUAAAUGCUCAGCAUAAGUGCAUAUAAAACCACAGUAACUGGUGAACCCAUUUAGGAUGUUAAAUGCUAAACUAGAAACCCCAUUUUCCUCGAAAAUAGAAGAAAAGUUUUGGUAGUUCCAAACCAAUGUGAACAAUAUAUAAUUAUUAUAUUAUUAAAGGUAAUCAAUAAUAACAUUUAGGUACGAUAGUUAAUUAAUUCGAGUAUCUUAGAGAAAUCUUUUCUGUUUAACAAAGAAGUAGAAGAAUGCUGAUAGUCGCAUAUUUGUGCGACUUUUAUCAUGCUAAUUAUUCUUAAUUAUUACUUAGUUAUUUUGUGAUGUUUUCCUAUUUUUAAUUAACUUUAUUUGUUUUUAGGUGUUUUGAAGUCAAACAAAGAAAAGGAGAUAAUUGGGCUUAAUUAGGAUCCCUAAUCCUAGUUGGGUUGGUGAUGGACGUGAGACAUAUAGGUUAACUAACCUAUUUCUACGGGGAGGAGGAGCCGAACCAGGGAGAAGAAAAAAAAGAGAGAAAGAGAAGAAAGGGAGGAAAAAGAAUUCGAUCGGCAAAGAUCUUCUUCAAAUCAAGUUUUCUUCUUCUCCACCUUUAGUUCAUCUUCCAUGUAUUCUCUGAUGUUUUUAAUCAAGAUUAUGUGUAACUAAACUCCUUAAUAGUUAGGGGCUGAUCAAAGCCCUAGAUAUGUCUUCGAUUUCGAACCCCAAUUGAUUUAUAUAAUUUUAGAUGAGAAUUUCUUCGCUGAUUGUUCAUUGAUAAUUCUAUUGCAUGUUUCAUUGAGUCGACACUUUGAUGCAUGUUUUAGGGUUUAUUAUUUUGAAUGUGUUUAUGACUGACAUAUCGUUGCAUAUUCUAUGAGAGAUAACAAGUUCUUUCCAGGUACUUGUGUGAAGUGAUUUCUUGGUAAUCUAAGGCUACCGACAUUGACCUUAGAUUCUUUGUUGCUACUCAAACGUUCUUAGAUCUUCUUGAUUUCAGUUAUUUUGGUCUAGAUACCGACAUUUCAUAGAUCAAUUAAUUGGGAAUAUAGUUAAGUCGAUACUGACAUUUCACUUAACAUGGCAAGUAAGAGAACGUAAUACGGUUAAUGACCUAACGACAUUGGCUUAACUGUGAGUGCAUUCAUAUUUAGUCAUUGAUAUUGUUUUGGGGUGAUUGAAGCGUAUCUAGUGGUGGAGAGAAGUUCCUAGCUAUUGUUUCUCUCAUAUUUACAUCCAUAUUCACUUUUUAAUAUUCUGUUUUCAGCAGUAUUUCUGUUUUAUCUAUUUUUGUUCACCAAUCAAACCAACUCCGAAUACCCUCAAAAUUUGUGUGGUAGUCCACCACUGUGUCUAGUUCCUGUGUAUUUAAUUUCAUAAUUUUUGGUUGAGUCUAGAUUAGCUAAUUAAUUAGGUUUCUGCUCCUAGGUCGAGUCUGCCAGAUUUCUGUUUACGCGUCUGUUUGUGUUUCUUGUGUGUUUAAGUCUUAGUAUCACCAAUCCUCUGCGGGUAAUGACCCCUAUUUUCCGUUUACUACAUUGAUAUAAUUGAAUUGAUAAUAGGGUAUCUUUGUAGGUGCUUUUGCGCCUAUCAAAUGCUCGGAAUUUAUAUAAUGUGACCUACAGGCUCAUUUUCAUCUUCUCUAUUCCAAACACAUUUUCAUUUUUGACACAUGAAAAAGCCGAAAAACCAUUCAAAACAGUUAUUAAGAACAGCCUAGCAUUCAUCUUAGUUUUAGGUUAAUUUGCUCCAAUGGACAUCUAUCACAUUCUUACUACAUUCAGAAUGACUGUACGAAACUACAAACUAACUGAAUUCUGUAUAAGCUUUGCCUCUCCUAUUAACACUUCACCAAAGCUAGACUAAUUAAUCUACUGAUUAAAAGAUUACCUCUAUGAAUUUUCAUACUCCAAAAACAUAAGUACACCAAUAAGCUGUUUACAUUCAACACAUUUCAAUAGACAGAUUCAUCAAAGAAUGAACACAGCAAAUGCUAAACCACAACAGUUGCAUCCUCCAAUAUCACUUUAUAAGCUGUACCAAACGUCCCCUUCCCAAUUACCUCAGCUGAAUCCCUCAACAAAUCCUCCAGAUCAAAUGCAUGAUGACAACCCUCCAAGAAAACCAGCCUGUUAUUCGCAUCCUGACUCCUGGAAAUCACCUUCUCCGGCGACAUGCCCCUUUCUACAUCUUCCCCAAAACCUCAUCUUCCCCUUUCCUUCUUAAGCACACAACAAGUAUUAGAGCCGCAAACGCCACAACCCCCAAAACAAUAAUCUAUUAAGAAAUAGGAAUCUCUACAAUCUGAGAUCCUCCCAGCAAACCAAAAUUCAACUAAAAUCACAUUGAAAUAAAUUUGCAACACACAACAAAGGGAAAGAAAACCAAUUAAAUUAGAGAGAAAGAUCCAUUACAUAUGACUGGAGUUCAAUGUCCUAGAGAAAAUAGCAGGUACAAAAUCGAAAAACAUAAAGAAGAUUUAACAAUGAAGAGAUAUGUACCUAAAAGACGACACAAUGAGGAUUGGAGACCGCAGAUGGCUGGAAAACUGGAACCAAGCACGUAACAGAUGGAGGUCAUAAACGAAAGACACGAGGUUUGCGUUUUCGGAUGAGUUUGAUAGCAAGAAAUUAGAAUUGGAUUUAAUUUAUAACACCAUUCUAACCAGAUUUCUUAUCCACUUCUGACAGGAUUUUUGAUUUCCUGCCCAUACAAAUCUGGGCCUCCAAACAACGUGAGUCGUUUGACGUUUUCAAAUCAACGCUGGCCGCCAUGAAAGGUGAUAGAAAACCAGCUACCAAAAGAAAAUUUAGCGAAGACUCGGCAUCUUCGUCUGAUGAUGAUGACCUACUGCUAUCAAAGAGAGCCAAGAGAUUAGCUGCGAAAAGAUCAUCAUCAACCAAUGAUAGAAACCCUGCAACAAGCAAAAGGAAAUUUAGUAAUGUACUAUUUUUAUGUUCGUCCCAUGAUGAGUUAAGACAGUCCAAUUAAUUAGUAUCGGGAAGAGCAUCAUCAACCAGUAUACAUGAUAUCCCGAAGGAAUUAUUAGUUGAAAUCCUUUGUCGUCUUCCAUGCGCAAAAUCUGUGUUUCGAUGCAAGUCUGUCUCAAAGAGUUGGCGCUCAUUCACGUCGGAUCCUUAUUUUAUCUGCCGCCUUUUGUGGCUCCAAAGACAUAACCAAACCCUAGUGCCUAGUACUAUCAAAAACCCGUGGGGGGAUAUACUCUUUACCACAGAUUUGUGUGCAAGAUUUAGGAGGUUCUUCAAACUCAAGAACGAGUAUGUUCUAGCGCUAGCUAUAUGGAAAGACUUGGUUCUCUGCCAACGAUCUCUUUACCAAUUAGUUGACGGUGAAUAUCAUAUCUACAAUCGAUUUUGUUACCAUGAUGAGGGUCAGUAUCACAUAUGCAAUCCAAGGACAAUGCAACUUGUUAAUCUUCCUUGGAUCCAUCAAUGCGGUUUGGAUCCUGCUAUUGGAUUCAUCUGUGAGCCAUACUAUAAGGAAGAAGAUGACAACCACGCCGACAAUAGUACUGAUCAAAAAGGAGGAGAAAGAAGGAAGGUAAUUAAAAUCGAUGCGGAGUAUAAGUGCAAGGUUGUGAGAAUUCUUUCUCCUGAAGACGAGGAAAAGCUUUGUUUCGAAUUCAAGAUUCAGGUCUUCUCUAGUGAGAUUGGUGAGUGGAGAGAAUCACUAGUAUCAUGUCCACGCGGCUUUCUUUAUUCCAAACUUGCUUCUACUUCAGGCUAUGCUAGCAAUGGAAUGCUAUAUUGGAAUGCUAACGAUGGUGAUCUGCUCAGGCUGGGACCUUUGAUGAUCAACAAUAAGAGCACUCCCACUUGUUCUAGUAGUACUACUGCUAAUGGUGAUUCGGGAUAUCAAUUCAAUGUUAUUAAGCUUGUUGAUCGGCAGGAACAUGGAGAUGAAGAUGAAGAUUUACCUUCUUCAUUAUAUUACCUCCAGGCGUUCCCAUGGUGGCCUACACCAGUUCCAAUUUUAAACUUGUAAUCUCAACUAGGUAAAUAUUGCUAAAAGCGGUAAGGAUCGUUGAAGAAAUAAGUUUAGUUCUUUGGUUUGAUUGAUUUAAAUGAUGAUGAUAAACAAAUGUCUACGUUUGUUUGUCUGUUUUUUGCUUUCUUAAAAGUUAGCUAGGUUAUAUUAGCUCAUUUGACCGGUAUAUUAACUAAUCGACUCUACCCUUCUCUAACUAUAAACUACUAGAAGGCAGUUCAUUAACAUUUAGUUGUCUCGAAUACAAAUUUCAGUUUCAAAUAUCUAAUAGGAGACACCUUAGAGGAACCACUUUUCACCUUAAAACCGCAUGCAUACCUAUAUAUCCUAGAGAGCUUCCAAUUUGGUUUGGUCAUUUUGAAACCGUAGCACUGGAACCCUAUAAAUCAAAAAGAAAAUUCAGCACUUCUGUUGUGUUUUCAGGGUUCAAGAUCAUAAAUCAUGAGGUACAUAUAUAUAUGAUAGGUAUAUGAAUCUCCAUUAGCCAGAAAAUGGGGGAAAUCUCCUUCUUAUGUCGUCCUUCAAGAAGCAAAGGCAUUUGCUUUGCUGAAAAUCCCUUGGAUUCUCCAUUUUCUCGUCUCAUGGCCCAAAUCAUCCUCUUUAAUCUUACCUCCAGACUGCUUUAUAGUAUUCUAAAGCCUUUGGGGCAAACUAAAUUUGUCUGCAAUCUCCUGGUAUGUGUCUCCUAAUUUUUAUCAUGAAUAAACGCUAACCUUUUUUUUUAAGAUCAUGCGAUAUUAGUUUCUCGGAAGUGGACGAUGUAGUGAUAUUAAUACAAACUCUUAAUCUUUGGUUUUUUCUUCUUUUUGUUUAGGGUGGCAUUAUCUUAGGGCCGUCUGUGAUUGGGCAAAACAAGGUAUUCAGAAACCAGCUAUACGGAACAAAUGAAGAAAUUCCACUGUUCCGCGUAAUACCUGUGAUUGGCGUACUGUACUCCAUAUUCCUAAUUUCAGUGAAGUUUGAUCCACACCUAAUCAAGAAGACAGCACAAAGUUCAUGGAAGAUUGGUGCAUUGACGUUCCUUUUUCCUUCUAUCAUCCUCCUUUACCCUAUAACCCAAGUUCGAAUUCUCAACAGUUUCUAUGCUCCCAACUUUCUCAUACUACUGACCGGCAUACUAUCUUGGUCCAUGAGUUUUUUUCCGGUCAUAACCGAGGCCUUGUAUGAACUUAAUCUCAUGACUUCAGAGUUGGGCCAACUCGCCAUGUCCUCGGCAAUUCUCAACGAUGCUGCACUAUGGUUCCUCGUUUUUCUUAAUAUGGCUGUUUCAUCCCAAGGUAUUCCGGUAUUGCUUUCGACAGUCGGGUUGUUACUCUUCACAGUCUAUGUCUUACGCCCACUUAUGCUAAUGAUAGUAAAGAAAACACCCCAAGGAGAACAAGUAAAGGAAAUCUAUAUAGUCGGUAUACUUCUUGGGGUUCUAGUCAUGACCUUUGUAACCGACGCCAUAGGCCUAGUGUAUAACUUGGGUCCUUUACUUUUAGGGUUGAUCAUACCAGACGGACCGCCGCUAGGAUCAACUUUGACAGCCAAGACGGAAUUCUUGGUCUCGGAAUUUCUUAUGCCGGUGCUGUUUUCGCAUAUCGGCAACGAUGUUAAUGUGUUUUUGAUUGACAACUGGACUAGGUUUGCCAAGCUUCAGACUAUUAUUGUUGCGUUGUUUGUGACAAAGAUUGUAGGGGUUACACUGGCUGGCUUGUGCUGCAAAAUUAGCUUGAGAAAUAGUCUCGUGCUCAGCAUGGUCAUGAGUAUGAAGGGUAUAAUAGAGGUUAUGAUGUAUCACAGGUUGAUGACCUUCAAGGUAAUUGUACAAUGUAAUUUUCUUUCUCUUUUUCCUCAUCCCUUUCAUUUCUAUAUAAACAUACAUGCGUUCAAAAAAAUAAAAAUAAACAUACAUGCAGCCAUGCACCACUAAUUUGGAUAAUUUUUAUGUUAUUACGUCUUAACGGUUCAUCAUGUCGUACAUUAACAUAUCGUAGAAUUUUCCCUUCAAAUUACUCUAUGAUUGUGACGGAGUACAUAUUGACUAUUUAAUUAAUUGAGUGCCCGUCGGUCAUAAUAUUCGAUUUUUGUAAUUUAAUAUGGGUUCGUAAUAUCAAUCAAUUGCUUGCAGAUGAUAGAUGGACAGUUUUUCACUCAGUUGAUCUUGUCUGCACUGAUGAUCACCAUGAUUGUCACACCAAUUGUACAUUUCUCGUAUACUCCUCAAAAACAACUCCAGAGAUCAACUAGAUAUUCACAGGCCAGAAGCAUCCAAUCACUGCCAAAUAGCGCUAGCUCCGGAACUUUUCAGAUUCUUUGUUGUGUCCACAGUGAAGAAAGUGCCCGCAGCAUCAUCACCUUCUUAGAAGCUUCAAAUCCAACAAACUCAAGCCCCAUUUGCACCUACCUUGUCCACCUUGUUGAUUUAGUUGGCAGCUCUGCACCACAAUUGACACCUUACAAGAAAAAGAAAUUCAGACGGUUGGAUUCACCAUCACAUCAAAUGAUGCGAGCCUUCGAGAAUUACUCAGAAAACUCAAAAGGACCUGUGACAAUUCAUCCCUAUACUGUGGUGGCUCCUUGCAAAUCCAUGCAUGAGUUCAUUUUUCGUCUAGCUCGUGAGAAGUUCGUUCCUCUUAUAAUCAUCCCGUUCGUCGAUAACCACGAUCAGACUAUUGGCGGUGCUUCCACUAGCAUUGUAAGCCAAUUGAACCGUAAUUUACAAGCGUUUUCUCAAUGCACAAUCGGAAUCCUAGUUGAAAAACGAUUGCCUUGUCGCGCAAGCAGUGUCUCAAACUUCUCUUACGUUGUGGCUGUAUUUUUCAUCGGCGGACCAGAUGACCGUGAGGCAUUAGCCUAUGCAUCACGCAUGGCUAACAACCCGGACGUGGACAUCAUGGUGUUCAGGACUCUGGUGCAGGCCAAUAAGACAGAAAAUAUUGAGGAAAGGGAGAGAGAGUUUGAGCUAGACGAGUCAUUGUUAGAUGAGUUUAAGCUAAGGAACGCCCGGAAUGAGAGGCUGAAAUGGCGUGAUAUUGUGGUGAAUGAUGGUGUUGAGGUUGUGAAUGCUAUCAAGAAUUUGCAAGGUAUGUAUGACCUAGUGAUGGUGGGGCGGCGACAUGUCGAUUUUUCGUUCGGGGAUGAAGAGAUGGCAGGCUUAUUGCAUUAUCCAGAGCUUGGAGUGAUCGGCGAUAUGCUCGCUUCUUCAGAUUUCUGUGGUGGAAUGGUGAAUGUGUUGGUGAUGCAAGAAAGUAGGAGCUUGAGUUGUGGAACUUUUUAUAAUUGACUCCAUGAAAUAUGUUUCUCAACUAUAUCUAGCUUCUACUCCAAAAAAAGAAACUAUAUCUAGCUUCUAUGUUGAUUGGACGUGACAUAUAUAUGUUGGAUCCAUAUAUGUUUAUUCCACUAUAAGUACUCCAUUAAAAUUCUCUUAAAUUUACCAGUGUUCAGGAAGCAUGUCUCUUCUUCUUACUUUUGUUUCAGACUUUCAGUACGUGGAAUAAGUUCUGUACAAAUUUCCAGUGGUUUUCUGUGCGGGUGGGUUAUGGAUGCACAAAUAUUCUAUUUUGUGACUUAGUUUUGAUGGUGUACAGUGUUAUUUUGUUUAUUCUGUUAUAUUUUUCCAAUCUAGUUGAAAUUUUGAACACGAUUUUGGAUGAAAGAGCCUGAAUAUAUAUGGCUUCACUUGAGGAAAUUAUGGGGUCAAAUACGACCUUCCUAAUCAAAACUGGUAAAAGCACAAAAGUAACGAACACCAAAUAUGAACUCGAAUUCGAAAUAGUAUUGAAAUUAUGAACAUACAUAACGCCCAAUUCUGGGUUUUUAAAACUACACAGAACCAAAAUUUGCAACAAAUUUAAACAUAUACAAUCAUACUGAUCGAUAUUCUUCCUAAGAACUAUAUAUCAUCAAUACACCUCACAUCGAUUGCGCUUGUUGGCCGGCUCGCAUUUGUCUAGUAAUUCAUUGUUGACCCUCUCGCAUUCGUCGAUCCAUUCACUGUAAAUGUCAAUGGGUUCAGUGAGAGCCGUGGCUGGAGUAUGAAAGACCUCAUGGCAGAUAUAGCAGUCGGCAGUGCCAAUCCAUUUCUCCCCUCCCGAUGCCAGCUUCACCUUGUAAAUUCUGCACUGGACGUUUCGGCCAUAGUUGCAGAAAGGGCAACUGAAAACAGUCUCAAGCUUCUCCACUCUUCUCUUCACUGGCUUACUCCUCGACUUUCUCUUCCCCAUUUUUUCUUCUUGUUUCUAUUUCAGACUCCGCUUUCCAAUUGUGACUUCUCAACAUGCCACUGGGUCCUAUUUAUAACCCUCUUCGGGGUUCAGUGUUUCCCAUUCCUAAUCGGAUUUGGACAAGCACAAUAAAUCCAGCUGGAAUUAUAUAAUUCAAGAAAUCAAUCCUAAGAGCAGAAGGAUUGUGAUGUCACCCGUUAAAAUUCGAAUCUCAUCCACGGUCCAAAACUUAAGUGACAAAAUAAAACGAGUGGGCUCAGGCCGAGCCCAGCUAGACGGACCUAGUCGUAAUGGGCCAUAGCGGGCUUCACUUGGUCGGAGGAACCAGAAUUGUAGAGAGAACUCUUCUCUUCCAUUGUUGUCUUUCACCAUUGCAAUGAACUCGGGUUAGCUCUCAAUUCAUAAUCUUUAUUUCAUUGUCUUUAUGUAUACUCUUGCUAUCUUGUAUUAACUAAACCAAAGAUUAGAAAUUUUAGAGCUUCAUGAUUGUUAUUAAGUAUUUGAUUUUCUUGCUAUUAGCGGGUUUUGUGUUGGAAUCUGAAGAAGGGUAAGAUAGUUUUGAGGUAGGUUGAUGUGGGUUUAGGAUGAGUUUUGGUUUUGGGUUAGUUUCUGUGGUGAUCAUGAGGGGAUGAGGUUCUCGAUCAGGUUUACUGUUGUAAGCUGAAACUCUCAGCUUGAAUUCCAUUUGGUGUAUAAUGUUUGGCUUUCAUUAGAAACACCAUUUGGUCAUGAAAUAAUUAAUUAAAAACAGCCGGCCAUUUUUGCUUAAUAGAGUAUCAUUUUGCACAUGAGCACAUAUAAGAGAUACCGCCCUUAAGAUUGCCUUUGUUCGAAUCGAAACAUUGCACAUUCAGUUGCUCAUAUUGUAAGCACCAACUUUUCAUUAGUGACACAAUGAUAUGAAAUUUUGUAGAACAAGAAGCUAUAAAAUAAGUCUUGGUGAUCCCUGAUUUUAAUGUAAUUUCGUCGACGUUAAUGUACUUCGAUGAAUUCAAUAUAGGCAUAAGAAUGUAUUGUGGAUUUGUGGCUAUCCAUAACUUCAUAUACUGUUCACAAUUACUUCAAGCUAUUGAACCAUGAUUUCUGAACUACCAUAUUCUUUAUGCUUUCUGCUUGUUCUUCUACAGCUUCCCUUUUUCACCAUUGUUCAAAGUUACAAUUUUAUAUCUUUUAGCUCAUCCCUGACUGCACAGGAAGACAGUAAGCACUGGGGCUCACCGUCCGGGGACUUUGCAUUUGGCUUCAGAAACGUUGGCAAUGCUGGCUUCUUACUAGCCAUCUGGUUUGACAAAAUACCUGAAAAGACUAUAGUUUGGUCAGCCAAUCGCAAUAAUCCAGUGCAACUAGGAUCGACAGUUGAAUUCUCUGCACAAGGCAAGUUAACACUCACUGAUGUUGCAACAGGACAACAAGCAAACAUUGCUGCUGAUCAGUCUAGGGAUACUGGAGUUGCCUAUGCAGCCAUGCUGGACACAGGAAAUUUCGUUCUGGCAACCGAAAAUUCAACCUAUUUGUGGCAGAGUUUUGAUCAUCCAACUGAUACCCUCCUUCCCACGCAGAUCCUUAAUGUAAACAGCAGUCUGUUUAACCAACUUACAGCAACAAAUUACUCAGAAGGAAGAUUUAAGUUCAUUCUAGAGUCUGGUGGAAAUCUUGUGCUUUAUACAAUGAACUAUCCAUUGAAGAGUACUAAUGUUAUAUACUGGUCUAUUGAAACUGGUAGCGGCUUUCAGGUCAUCUUCAACCAAUCUGGCUCUAUUUACCUCACAGCACAAAACGGGAGCCAACUUGGUUCGGUCUUACCAGAUACAGUUGAGACACAAGACGUCUACCAGAGAGCAACUCUUGACUAUGAUGGAGUUUUGAGGCACUAUACCCACCAGAAAGAAACCGACUCUUCAAGUGAUUGGUACACUUUUAGAUUCAUGCCUCCAAAUAUUUGCACAUCAAUUUUGGAAUAUACAGGUGGGGGUGCAUGUGGGUUUAACAGCUUAUGUAGACAUGAUGAGUAUGGAGGUCAUACUAAUUGCUCAUGCCCUCCGAGUUACAUCCCCGUUGAUCAAGAUGAUGAGAGGAAAGGGUGCAAACAAAACUUUGUUCCCCAAAAUUGUCAUAAAGCCUCAUCAGAAAAGGACCUCUUUGAAUUUCAAGAGCUUCCCAACACUGAUUGGCCUGGUGGAGAUUAUGAGCAUUUCCAGCCAGUUAAUAAGGAACAGUGCAAGAAAAGCUGCUUAGCUGAUUGUUUCUGUGCCAUUGCCAUUUAUAGUGAAGGAAGAAGUGAUUGUUGGAAGAAGAGAAUCCCUCUUUCGAAUGGGAAGAUCAAAGACGAUGUUGAAUGGUUAGCUCUGGUGAAGGUAAGGAAAGACAUUUCUACUUGGAAAACAGCAAAAGAGAAAUAUAGUCUAACUCUGCUCCUCGUUGGAGCAGUGAUCAUUCUAGUAUUAACCAAUUUGGGUGUUUCUGUAAUAACCUAUCUGGUUAGUUCUCAUGCAAUUGUCAGUCGACUUAAUCCUGUGGUUCAAGGCAUGAAUCUGAAAUGUUUCACUUUCAUGGAGCUAAAAAAAGCCCCCAACGGAUUUGAGGAAGAGCUAUGUUGCGGUGCUUUUGCAACAGUUUUCAAAGGAAUUUUAGCAUCUGAUGGUGGGAAGUUCAUUGCUGUAAAAAGAUUGAAUGCUGUGGUUAAAGAAGAUAAUUUGGAAUUCAAAGCUGAAGUGAGCGCAAUUGCCAGAACAAAUCACAGAAAUUUAGUCCAACUACUUGGAUUUUGUAACGAGGGGAAACACCAGCUUCUUGUCUACGAGUACAUGAGCAAUGGCUCUCUAGCAAGCUUCCUGUUCGGCAAGACAAGGCCCAACUGGUAUCAAAGAAAGCAAAUUGCCUUGGGAACUGCAAGAGGGCUCUUAUACCUGCAUGAGGAGUGCACCAGCCAAAUCAUACAUUGUGACAUUAAGCCUCAAAACAUUCUCCUCGAUGAUUUUUUCACAGCAAGAAUAGCCGAUUUUGGAGUGGCCAAGCUCUUGAAAUGUGAACAAUCUCGAACAACUACUAGAAUCAGAGGCACAAAAGGUUAUGUUGCCCCAGAAUGGUUCAAAAGCUUGCCUGUCACAGUGAAGGUGGAUGUCUAUAGCUACGGCAUUGUGUUGUUAGAGAUUGUUUGCUGCAGGAGAAAUUACGAAGCAGAUGCACCAGCUGAAGGUCAAAUGAGACUAGCAGAUUGGGCAUACAAUUGCUAUAAGAAAAAGAAACUGCAUCUGUUGUUGUAGAAUGUCGACAACGAUCAGGCAAUGGAUGGCGUCGAAAAGUUGGAGAAGUACUUGAUGAUCGCAUUUUGGUGCAUUCAAGAGGAUCAAUCAGUAAGACCUACCAUGAAGAAAGUCACACUGAUGCUUGAAGGCACUGUCGAAGUCUCAGUGCCUCCAAACCCAUCCUCACUGUAUGUCAAAUUUUAAGUGAUUGCAUUUGUUCAUUGAUUUCUGGAUCCAGAACUUUAUGUCUUGGAUCAUUCAACAAUAUGUGCAGGGUCGUAAAGAUAGUCCGGAUGUAACAUAGAGCAUCUGGAUAAUUGUAUGUAAAGCACAUUCAUAAUUUUAACUAUAUCUUAAGCAGAGUUUCCUGCACUUGUAUAUUCACUCUAAUGCCAAGAAACAUACUCUGCUUGGUCUCUGUUUACAAAGAACGUACAGUUCUCCUCGUUCUUAAUUACCUCCAUACCAAUUUCACUUCUCUGGCUCAACAUGAAGAAACUCAAUGCAAUGAUCAUUACAUACCUAAUAAACGUUUUUCCUCGUUCAAAGACAUAAACAAAAUCACAUGGUAGAUAAAAAUCAUGUCAUGAAAUCUGACCAUUUGGAUCAAAAGUGGCUUAAACAAAAUAAUGUCUGUUCAUGGACGGUGCUGAUGCUGCAGAAGAACAUUUCAGAAUUUGGAGAAGCACAAACCUUGUUGCUCACAACUUAUACUUAAUCUCCCACUUCGAAGCAUAACAAUUUUACUUACAGCAUCACCAGUAUGUUGUGUUGCUUCCAUGGUUGAUCGGUGUAUGCAUAAUUUUCUCAGUAAUUUUUUUUACAGCAUCACGAGACAUCACCACUCUGUCAUAAGAGAUCAUGCUAAGGGCAUCCAACUCCUGCAAAAUGCGUGAAAUAUGCUUUAGUAAUGAGUUCAAACCCAACAACUGGUUCAUACAUCAAGAGAACUUAACAGUAUUGUUUUUGGUUGACACGGUUGUUAUGUGGAGAGCUAGACAAACCAGAAUAACAAAAAUUAAAAGGAAAACAAAAAACAAAAAGGGGGGCAGUUGCCUCGACUUGGUUGUUAUGUGGAUACUGAAUAACAAAAAAAAAAAUGAAAGGAAAAAAAAAAAGGGGGGUGGGGGACAGCUGCCUCGACUCAUACUCAUGAUAGAGCAACAAAAUAAUACGAGAAUAUGCAUCCAGAGAAUUAACCAUGUUCGAAUUAAAAUCUUGUAUGGAGGUCCUAUUAUAUGCCUUCGCUAACGAAUAUACUAAUGAAUAAUGAAGGCAACUGUCCUUGGAAAGUGUGGAACCAUGUCUCUAAACGGCAUCUUAGGCUAAACAGAUCGUCUACUACAUUGUAGCUACAAUAAAAACACUUAUCUAAAACCAGAAUGUGCAACUUACACUUGAGGGCAUCACAGUCACACAACGUAAACGUUCAGUAGCCAACUUGAGCUCUUUACUUAUUGGACCACCAUCCACCAGCAGAAUUUUUUUCUUCUUCUCCUUUUUCAUUCUUUCUUUGACAUAGUUCACAACGUUAUCGGGUUUAUUUCUGUAGAUCCCAAAAUCCUCAAAAACCAGAAGCUGUAAUUUGUACAAUUUUCUCUCGUUAGUUUCCAAAUUGAACAAAAAUGAACCUCAUACAUACAACUUUAUACAAUCAUAACAUAUAAAGGACUCUGAAGCUUAAACACACCUUAAUAGGUGAAAAACAGAAAAUGAACUAUUGGAGUGAGUGACAGACUUGCCUUUCCCUGUGCCGCUCGAGAUGACAGAGCCAUCUUUAGUCCCAGAAGUUCUACAUUCUUAGAAGUAUGACUUCGUCUGUUGACACCUCUAUGCUGUUAACACCCAUUAGAUUCAUUUAGUUGGAUGCAGAAGGACAUAUCGUAAAAAAAGGGUCAGGUUGCAAGCCAUUGAACUUGCUGUACUUAAGGAUGAUAGUACAAUACCUGGGGAUCACUCAAGUUUCCAUGGCUGGUUCGACCACUAUCCUUCCAAUUCGAUGGCUAUACACGAUUCCAAAACAUUUGACGUGUGGCAAUACAAUAAAGGAAAAGUUGCUGAUCAGUAAGUGCCCUUAUGUAAUUAGCCUUAUAUUUGUCAGUCUCUUCUUUCUCUUUUCUUAAUAAUACUUUUGUGCAUGAUCCUUAUGUGUUUUCACCGAAAUGCUUCUCACACAGCCCAAGGGACAAUAUAGAAAACAAACUAACUACAAUAGACUGUGAUACUUCCAAAAUAUGGUGUAUAGGAGUUUGUGACUUUGUCUUUGUACUGAAACUAUUCAAUGACAAAAAACACAUCACUGGAAAGAGUCGUACCUGUUGCCUUUUUGCUAGCUGCCACAUUUUAACCGGAUGAAUCCAACGAAAGAAGAAGAAGAUCUGACGAGCAAUAUCCAUUGUAAUUGGUGCAUCAAAAAUAUCAUCAGCCAAAGUUGUGGAUCCUUUCUUUUCAUCACCAAAUUUUGUCACUGAAAUCACAAGAUCAUGACAAAUUCCUAUCUUAAGAUACACUUUCACCAACAAACAAUUCCACAUCUCUAUUUCAUACUUUCUGCAAUCUACUAUUGAACAAUUACUUCAAGUAAUCUUCAAUAACAUGUUAUGUUUUUGACCUUGUUCCACAUACCUGUAGUGCACUCUGAAGCCCCCUCAGGCUUUAAGGACAAUGAGUCAGAGCAAAAUGACUCUUGGGUCAAGACGGAAGUCGAAAGCAUUCGACAAGCACAAAUCAAUGAUCCACCCUACAUUGGAUUCCAAAAAUGGAUGCACCCACAUAAAUCAACACCAUGAAUAUAACAACAAGCUACAUUACUGAUUUGAUCAUUACAAUAUGAACUAGUAAACAAACUUGGGUAUACCAUGGUAACAUGGGCAGAUGCUAAACCAGAACCAAAUGAAUGCGCGAUUCUUCUGGAAAUGAACAAAGCCAUACUCCAAAACAGAUUCAGCUGUAUCAUAACGAACAUGAGUUAGGGGGUUUCCGAAACAGCUUAAAGAUGACAUCUUUGAAUAGAAUUACAUCAUCAAUAAGAGAGAUUAGCAUGUUGGGCCAUUUUAAUCUGAAAUAUACUGAACUGGGUUUAAUGGAUUCUCUAAGAAUCCUCUUAAAGAUGACAUAUUUGAUUAGAACUACAACAUUUAUAUGAGAAUUUUAGCAGGUGAAACAGAAAAAGAAGAAGAUGCCAAAAAUGCGGGAGAUUGUUUGAGAAUUAGAGAAAGACAUCGAUGAGUUCGGAUACCAUACGUAGUACUGUUGCAAGGACAGGAAGAAGAACACUGACUGACUUCGACGUAGCUCCUGUUUGUCGGCGUCUAUCGUAUUUCUGCCAUCACCAUAUUUGGAUUAUUUGCUUGUGUUCUUUUUCUGUUUUUGAGUACAUUGAAGCAACUGAGCUGGGUUUUUUUAGCGGGCUAGGCGAUCCGAGGUGGGCUAGGCCGAACGUAGAAGAAAUUGGCCCAUCAGAUCAGUCCCAUCUUUAAAAAAUGAGAAACCGAAACAGAUCGAUUCACUCCAAUUCUCUCUGAAUUCUCAAGGUUUUCUUUAGGGCGUUUAAAGAUUCAUGCAUUUGUUUUCAGUUCACUAAUCACUAAUCCAUUUCAAGUAUAUUGGCAAACCAUAUAGAGUCAUAGAGAGCAAGAAGAGAUCAUUGUUUUCAAGUUAGCGAAAUCCACCACGCAUGAACAACAGCUACACUAAGAAACAGAAACAUGCAUAUACUCUAAAAAUAGACAAGCAAAUUUUCUUUACAGUCCAGAUCAAGUUGCUUACAUGAUAAGAGAUGCUAACCAACUACUGUAGCAAAAAAUGAUUAGACUCUGAGCAGAAAAUUUAUAUGUUUGCAAUUACAAACCAACUACUUUAGAUUAACUUCUCAGUAAGUAUCGGUUGCAUAAUUGGCAGCAAGACAUCUUGGAAUAUUGGUUUGGAACCGUUCUCUACUGAAUUACUUGCUCACUGGAGGUCUCUGCCUUAUGGGAACGUAUUCUAGGAACCGGUGUGGGCCACCAUGGGAGCAUAAUUUGUAAUGCCUUCCCCCAAAAGUAUCGUUUAUUCAUCUUCAUCUUGGAACAUUCUCCUGUGUGAAUGUUGCACUUGUAAAAGACAGUAUCGUCAUCGUCGUCAUCGUCAUCCUCAUAAUCAUAAUAUGUUUGUUCCUUUUCCUUUUCUGAACGGGUAUCAUCUUUUAGAGACACAAAACAUGUAUCCAAAUCGUUUGGAUCAAAACCGAAAUACUCCAGCAAAUCAUACUCCCUUUGCGAAGCAUAGUACUCCAUUCGCGAAGUAUACAGAAAGGAUACCCCGUCCAUUAAAGAAUAAAUGUUUCGGUGUUUCUGACUCAGUUCUCCACCCCCUUUUACCGCCAUUUGUUCUAGUUCUUCUUUUUCUAACUCCCAAACAAAUAGCUUAGCUCCAAUCCUGUUCUCAUUCUGCACCAUCCACACCAACUGCAGACGUCCACGGUGCACCUGAAGGUAAUAAUAUAAUGAAGAAAGUAAAUCUGGAUGUUCCUGCCGAUCAACAUGUUUAAUAACAUGAAAUUGAUACCCCAAAUCACCAUGGGCAGUAGUACUAUUUGAACAAGUGGGAGUGCUCUUGUUGUUGAUCAUCAAAGGUCCCAGCCCGAGUAGAUCACCGUCUCUAGCAGUCCAGUAUAGCAUUCCAUUGGUAGCAAAGCCACAACGUUUAAGUUCGGAAUAAAUAAAGCCGCGUGGACAUGAUACUAGUGAUUCUCUCCACUCACCAAUAUCAUUAGAGAAGAACUGAAUCUUGAAUUCGAAACAAAGGUUUUUCUCGUCUUCAGGAGGAAGUAUUCUCACAACCUUGAACCUAUACUCGGUAUCAAUUUUAAUUACCUUCCUUUCUUCUUGCUCUUCUUUUUUAUCAAUACUAUUGUCGGCGUGUCUGUCAUCUUCUUCUUCCUUAUAGUAUGGCUCGCAGAUGAAUCCCACAACAUCAUAGAGCCAACUGCAUCGAUCGGUCGGAGGAGGAAGACUGAACAGUUUCAUGGUCCUUGGAUUGCAGAUGUAAUAUUCAUCGUCAUCUUCGAAAACAGAUCUUCUGCAGAGAACCAAGUCGUUCCAUGAAGCUAGCACUACAAAAUCCUUCCUAAAUCUUGCAAACAAAUCUGUCUUAAGGAGUUCAUACCCCCACGUCUGAUUUAUAAUAAUACCAGGUAUUGGGGUUUGGUUAUGUCUUUGGAGCCACAAAAAGCGGCCGAUAAAAUUAGGAUCUGACCAAUGGCGGAGCCAGGAUAAAAAUGUCACAUGGGCUACUGGUAACACAUGGAAAAAAUUCUUACACUAACAACUUUUUUUAGGAAAUGCUUACACUAGUAACUAAGAACUUCAUGUAAUCGUAUUUGCUACGAAUUUUGAACGCUACGGCCAUAGACCUACUCCACUAGAACCGACGGCACCCGAUCACUUCUCCUUUUAUUAGUUCAAUUGUA
rnacentral:lncRNA from 1 species